UCGUCUUUGACAUCAUCACCUUUUUCUUCUUCUUCUACUACUUCUACACUUUAGAAUGUACAUUUAAUUUGCCUAGUAGUGUGAAUCUGUAUUACAGUACUGCCAAUUUGCAAAUAUGAGCAUACUGAUUCGAGACACUGUACACUCUGAUGCUGUUAGAGAUGCUAUAUCAAAGAUAUUAGCCUGUGUCAUAAAGGUGCUUCAAGAAUGUUAUGUAUCAUUAACAUGAAACCAAUAUGAACACUAAACACCAAAAUUGAAAACAUUAAUAAAAAUUAGCAUUUUCUCGGUAAAAUGGACUUGUUAGUAUUGAAUUAUUUUGGGUGUUGUGAUGUUCAGUGAAUCUGCAUUUUUGGUGUAACGUUAAGACUUGUUACAUUAUUUGGUUGAAUGUUGUGCAUCGAUGAUAGAAAAUAUGCGUUCACUAUUAGUCAUGGACCAGGUCUUUUGAAAGAAUAAUAGUGCGGAAAAUAAAUAACUCAAAGUAAAAUAACACAAGAGUUCACGUGAAAACCCCUCUGCUCAAGGACAAACAAAACUACGACCUGUCUCAUAUGAUUUCAACUCAACUCCAUUAUCAUCAAAGGAGCAAAGAUUCAGAUCAUUCAUCAUCACCCAUUUAACAUAUUCACAACUCAAAACACAAAUUUAUCAAGUAUGUUGGAGUUUUUAGGCUGAACUUCAACUCUAUAAACAUAAAUAAAAGCAAGAAGAAGAGAAGAAAUAUCUUCUGGGGAAAGAUUAUUUUUCAUAGAACUGAAAUGUUGUUUAAAUACAGAAAAAUGCAAUAACUAAAGCAUAUAUCUAAGCAACUACUUUGCACAUGAUUCCAUGAUAAACAAAAUCUUAAAAAUAACAAUUUAAUUCCUAAAAAACAACAACUAACUUAAAUUGAAUUGCUGCUGAAGAUGGCUACAAAGCUGGAGCAAAUCCAGCAACUUCUAUUGACUAGUUACUGCCGUAACUGAGGCAAUUAAUCAACAAAGUAUAAGAUAGUUCAUUCACACUUCGUGAUUAUUAGUGAAAUCAUUUUAUAUGAGUCACGUAUAUAUUCCUCUUUUAAGAUUACUAGACCUUAACUAGCAUGUAAAAUCAUGAAACACUGAACAACAAUCAUUAAUAAAUAUAAUUUAUCAGUAUAAUUAAAUCAUCACACGCUUGUCAAAAUGCUACAAGUCAAUUCAACAUAAUUGUCAAAAUGUAACAAGCCAAAUGAAAAUCAUAUCUACCUUGGCCUUGCAAUUGCAUAAUCAUUGCACAUGCCAGGAAUCACUAACACACCUCUUAGAAUCAUAAGUCUCACUAUCAUGUAUAUACAAAUGCUAAAGGGUCUUAAUCUUGUCCAUCUAGUCAUGACCUAUAGGGGGACCCUAGGUGUACAUUUAUCAUACCAACAUGGUAUCCGAGCCUGCAUAAAUGACUCUUACAAAGCUCACAUCAAACUUGAGUCGCUCAUCAUCCAUAGAGUGGUUAUAUACUCACUUUAUCUGCAUAUUUCAAUAUGCUAAUCUCUCUAAUUACCACUCAGGGCAACACAUCAAGCAUAACAUAGACACAAGAUCAUCAUUCAUAACAUCAACAAAUAAUCAAUUCAACGAUUUGCAUGCUUAAACUUACAAGCAACACUUAAUUCCAUCAUAAUCAACAACAACUAUGCCCAAUACCAAUCAACAUGCAAUAGAACUCACAUUACAUAUAAGCAAUUAAGCAAUGUCGUCCAACUUUAACUAAACCAUAUUCUGGCUCACCCGACGAAUUGGAAGCGAACAAGCUAAAUUAUCAGUCUUCCCUUUUCUCAAUGCCUUAUUAGAAUGCUCAAAGUCUAAUACAAAUAAAGUAUAAGGUCAUUUUAACCCCCCUAUUUACUCAAACAAAGUUCUUGGAUAUUUAAACCCACCUAAUUCUACUUUUUUAGAAGGUCUAACGAAUAAUUAACGAAUUAUUCUAUCAAAUCGGAGGCUUUCAUGAUCAACUCAAUCUGAUUCAUGAAGUUUUAAUUCUAUUAACCUCUCUUGACCGUUCAUAUAUUUAAGAACCCAUUUUUGUGGGGUUUCUAGGUUCCCAAAUAUUAAAAUUAAAGUCUAAAUUUACAAUUUCAUGCUAGAAUACCAAAUUCAACAUAAAUAAAAGGAUUAAUCGACUUAAUCGAAGUAACAAAAAUCAUAUCGAAUCAACUUGCCUUUCGAUUUUGGUCUUGCGACUAGUUAUAAAUAUAUAGUUGCACAAAGAGUGGCACCCACAACUUGUGAAUGUAUCAAUGUACAAUGUCUCAUGUCACCCCAAAGGGACCCUAUUUAAUUUCUUGUGAAGUCCAGGUAAAAGAUGUCAAAAUUUGUGGUGGGUCAGCUUUAGAAUUAAGAUACUAUCAGAUACUAACAAAGAUUGUGGUAUAGUGAUAAAUAUUUCUUCAUUUUUAAUCAGAGGUCUCAGACUUUACAUGAUUCAAAAUUUAAUAUGAUUAUCGAACACCAAAUAAAAAAAUCAAAGAAAAAAGAAGAAGAAGAAGAAGAGAGUAUCAGACAUGCUAUGUAUCAUGGUCUAUGAAGUGUGAAAGUCACUCAUCCAACAGCAAAAAUAGGCCAAAUACAUGUACAGCUCCUUUAACUUGCCUUUUAAGUUUCAUUUUGGUAAAUUCAACUCAAUUUUAUUUCAUUCUAAUUCUCCAACUUCAUUUUUUCAUGUAUUAUUUAAACACAAUUUCUUUUUAUCUAUUAUAAGUUUUUAUGUUAGACAAACAUUAAAAGAAUAAAAAGACAUAUAAUUAAAUAACGUGACGUAUUUUAUUUUCUCUAAGGGUGUGUUUGGUAUGAAGGAAAAUGUUUUCCAUGGAAAAUGUUUUCUUGGAAAACAAGUUGAUUUUUGACUUAUUUUCUCAUGUUUGGUUUGUAAGUAGAAAAUAUUUUCCAAAAAAGAUUUUUAGUGUUUGAUUUAUGAAUGAAAAAUGUUUUUGAAAAAUUUCUUUUAUUUUUACUAGAGUAGAAAAUAAUUGUUGAAAUUGAAAAUAUUUUUUAAAAACAAACUUAAUUUUUUUUGGGGGGUGGGGGUGGGGUGGGGUAUGAAAUUAAAAGGUUGAAAUUGGAAAUAUCUUUUAAAACAAUUUUUAAAUUUUUUUUUUGGAGGGUAGGGGUGAGGGUGGGGUAAAAAAAUAAAAAAAUUGAAGUUAAAAAUAUUUUUUAAAAACAAGCUUUAAUUUAUUUUUAUUUUUAUGUUUUUGNNNNNNNNNNNNNNNNNNNNNNNNNNNNNNNNNNNNNNNNNNNNNNNNNNNNNNNNNNNNNNNNNNNNNNNNNNNNNNNNNNNNNNNNNNNNNNNNNNNNNNNNNNNNGGGUGGGGGGUUCGAGGGUAGGGGUGUAAAGAAAUAAAAAAUUGAAAUUAGAAAUAUCUUUUAAAAACAACUUUUCAUAUAUUUUUGGGAGGGGUUGUGGUAGGGGGUGGAGGUAGGGAUGAGGGUGGGGUAAAAAUAUUGAAUUUAAAAACAAACUUUGAAUUUUUUUAUUUUUUUAUUUUUUUUGGGGUGGUGGUUGGGGGAUGGUUUGAGGGUAGGGACCAAAUAAAUUGAUUUUUUCAACAAUUUUUUUUUUAAUUGGAAAUUGGAAGAGAGUUUUGGAAAAUAUUUUCCUUAAGUUUUAAAGGGAAGUCAUUUUCCUUAAAUAUGAGGAAAAUGAGUUGAUUUGGAAAACAUUUUCCGAAACAUUUAACUCAACCAAACAUGAGAAAAUUGGAAAACAUUUUCUGAAAAAUGUUUUCCUUCAUACCAAACACACCCUAAGUCAUCCGGAUUUACUUGAGAUUUACAUUAAUUGUAUUCAUUUAUCAUCUUUACGCAAUAUAAGAAUAUAUAUUAAAUAACUAUAUUCAAUUAAUUACAAAUUUAUUGUUGAGAUCGAUUAGUGACACAAGUUAAUAUAAACAUCGAGUUUAUGUUACUAUGAAUACAUCCAUCUUUUUCAAUUUUUGUUGCAUCAAUAAAAUAUAUUUCAUCAUUCCAGUAAUUAUAAUUUUAAAUAUUGAUAUGGUGUCAUUUUUUUCAAUCUAGCUCUUUAUGGAUUAUUCUAACAUUCUAUUUAGUCCUUUAUAACAUAGAAUAUAACUGAUACUUUAAAUUUUAUAUAAAAUAAAUAAAUUAUGUAAUUUUAAAAAAUAAAUAUUAUCUUUAGCAUAGACAGAGAUGAAUAAAAAAGGAGGUAGAUGAAGAAAAUAAAUAAAUAAGCAGUAUAGAUGAAGGAAAAAAUGGGAUUCAAGAGAAGAUAAAGAAAAUAAAUAAGGGAGAAGGUUGUUAAUAAUAACAAUACCGAAUAUCUAUCUAUAUAUAAAAGGAGAAGAAAAAAUGACACAUGUCAACACCAAAAAUUUUCAGUAUUUUAAAUAAUUAAUAAUCAAUAAUUAAAUAAAUAAAUAUAGACACAUGUCAAUAAUUAGAAUUAGAAUGACACAUGUCAACACCACAAAAAUAAAAUAAAAAUAAAUAAAUAAAUUUUAAACAAACUAUUUAAAAUACAAAAAAAAAAAAAUAACCAACGGACAAAAAGAGUAAAAAAAUGUUAAAAUAGGUUAUAGUAAUAGAAAAAUGUAACAAAGAAAAAAUAAAAUAAAAAACGUAAGCAUCAAUCAUUUUAAAUAAAUAAAUAGCAAAACUACCCGCACAAUAAAAAAAAUCUGUUAAAUGAAGAUAUGCUUUAGUUUUUUAAAAAAAAAAAAAAAUUAAAUGUGUUUUUUUCAAAAUAAGUAACCAACUCACGUAACUAUUUUUAAAAAAAUGGCAAAGUAGUUACUUUUUGAAUUUGAAUUUAAAGUGAUUACCUAAAACUACUCUACCCAUUAUCUCUAUUCCCUAUAUAUACAUAAAUAAAGUUCAUUAAAAAAAUUAAUUGAUCUUAUUCUUCUUCAAAUGUAUAGUAUUAUUUGUUGAAUUCUCUCCAUUCUUCUUAUCUUCAUCUUUUUAUGGAGCGAAUAGGUAGAUUAUUUGUCGGCUAGCCGGAAAAAAAAGGUUUGAAUAUACUUGCAAAUAACAAAGUGAAAGUCCAAGAAGAAGAAGAACAAUAUUUAUCAAAAUGGAAAUCUUCUGCAAAUGAUGAUAAUGUUAGAUCUAUAAUGUAUUUUGUGAAAAAAAAAAUUUGGUUCAUUUUAUUCAAUUUGAUUUGUUUUUGUCAUAUUUUGUACAUAAAUUCUUUAAAUCAGAUGAUUGAACCAUGAAUCUAUUCUUCUUCAAAAUGUGUAAUGUUGUUUGUUAAAUUAGUUUCAUUCUUCUUAUCUUCAUUUUUAUUGGGGUGAAUAGAUAGAUUAUUUGAUGGCUAGCCGAAGAAAAUUUGAAUAUAUUUGCAAAUAAAAAAGUGAAAGUUCCAAGCAAAAGAAGAACAAUAUUUAUCAAAACUAAAAAUCCUCUGCAAAUAAUGAUAUUGAUAAGUAUAAUGUCUUAUUGUAACUUUUUAGUUUAUUUCAUUCAAUUUGAUUUGUUUUUGUGAUAUUAUGUACUUAAAUUCUUUAAAUCAAAUGAGUUUUUAUAUUUUUAUUUAUUUACAUUUGUAAUCUUUGAUAUUUUUACGGCGAUUAAUAUUUUUUUAGAUUGUACGUUAUUUUUUAAAUUUAAUUUUGGUGAAGUUAUUCUAAUACUUUUUUUUUUUCAUUUUCUGUAAAUUUUUACUCAAUCAUUUACACUAACAUGUUUUUGAUUGUUGGAUUAUUAGUGAUAUAUUCACAGUUUUAAAAUGCUAAAUAUGUGCAAUUGAAUAUCUUAAUUGCUAUGGAAUUAUUAAUAUAAUGUAUCGAUAAAUGUAGAAUAUCAUGAUUUAUGCAUAUUAUUCCACUUUUUUAUAGCUUUUUAGUAAUAUACUUGUGAGUGAUAAAUAUUAAAGUAUGAACAAAAAAUUGUUCAUUUGUUAAGUUAAAUUUUAUUUAAAAUAUAAUUUUUUAAAAUUGUUACUAUACUUAAAAUAAAUGGUUUGUCUUUGAAAUUUUAGAACUUUCAAACCUAUAGAAUAUACAACUAUUCUAAAAAUUAAAUGUACAAAAAAGACUUCUUAUAUUACAAGAUAUUAGAGAAUUUGAAAUUAUUUUGUCAAUACUGAAAUAAAUAAUAGAUCAUUUAGUAAUUAGAAACUACCAUUUAAUUAAUAAGAGAAUAUGCACCAUUGUAUAGGAGAUCGAGACAAAUAGUAACGUGUUUCAAAAUAUUAUAUCAAAGCGAAUUCAAAUUAAGAUUAUUUUUUUAUAACGUGGAAUUCAAACAUUUUUUUAAAAUAUAGAAUUUAUAUAAAUUUUAAAUAGUUAAUUAGGGAUUAUAAAAUUAUUUUUAAAAUGAUAAGUUAGUUAUUUUAAAAUUAUUUUUCCGGCGAGCAGCUGAAGAAGAAGACUGAUUGACGCAGCAAGAGAUCGCCUCACUUUCCUUUAUGAGAAUGUCAAUUUUUUAUUCUUUCCUUUGCUCUUUUAAGUUAGGUUUCUUAAUUGUUUUGUUCUUUCUGUUGAAUGGCUAGUUGAUCCAGACCAUAUCACGGGAGGUGUAUUUUUUUUUUAAUAAAAUGGGCCUUUUUGGCCUUCUCUUAAAAAAAAAAAUUAUAAAGAAAUUUGUAAUUUUUUAAAUAAUUGAAACUGACUAAUUAAAAAUUCAAAUUUUGAAUUUAAUAUUUAUAGUUUUUGUAGAUAGUUAUACUUUUCUGACUUUAUCAUAAUUGUAAGAUAAUUAUAUAACUAGAAGGUACUCUCUAAUAGUGCAUAUAAUUAUUUUGUUUGUUCAAAGAUAUUUCUAUUUAUACGUAAUCUCAAUUUUUAUCUCAAUUAUGUAGAAACUUUAAUAGUAAUCAUAAAUAAUUUCAAUCAUUAUUAUUAAUAGAACAUUAGAAGAAUUAUUACUAUAGGUAUUUGUGUUAAUAAAAAAUUAAAUUGUUGUAUGUAUUAUUGCUAUAUAACUAAAGAAAAUAACACGGGGAAGAAAAUAAGUAAGUAAACAUUAUAAGUUGUAUUGAAAUAUAUUUAAGUUAAUAAAAACGGAAAUUGUUGUAAAGUAUUACUUUUUUAUGAUUAAACAAAAAUAACAAUUUGAAGAAAAUAAUAAAUAAAGAUUACACGUUGUAUUAAAAAUAAUAAAGUACUAAAAAUUAAGAUAAAUUUUAUAAUAGUCAUAAAAGGAAUUUAUGCAAUAAUUACUAUAAUAGAAUACUAGAAAAAAUUGAUAAGUUCCUCGACAUAUAAUCAUUGAUAAAAAAUUAAAUUAUUAUUUUCUUUUUUCGAAAGUUUUAAAAGUAAACUUAUUCAGUAUUUGUGAUUAAUUAUUUUCAAUGAUUAAUAAAAAAUGUAUAUAUCAUGAACAUGUUUCUAUUAUUAUAUGACAUUAUUUUAUAUUGACUCUAUUUUAAAUUACUUUUCUAUUAUCGUUUGACACAAAUUUAAGAAUGUAAAGAAUAUUUUGAAUCUUUUGAAUUUGAAAAAAAUAUAUGCAAAAUAUAUUAACAUGUCAUUUAGUCUUAUGAUAUUUUACCUUUCAUGUGAAAUAUUUUUGACUAAUAAAUUCUUAAUAUGAAAAAUAUAUUAAUAUAUCAAUACAACAUAAAAAUAAUAAAGGACAAAUAUGUAAAAAUAUUUCAACUAAUUGAUGUUUCAUGAAAUUAAAUCAAUCAUAAAUUCAUAUAUAGCCGCACAACACAUGGGUACGUAUACUAGUUAAUAUUAAAAAACACUCAUCGUGCGCUUCAAUCUCCCCAAUUUGUUUAGUCAGCACUCAACAUUUUGUAUUUAAAUGGUACAUGAAAAAUGAAACAAAAUUUAGUUGGAGUGCCAAAAUGAAAUUUCGAAACAAGUUAAAAGAAAUUUUAUGUGUUGGGCGGACCAUAAAAGAAAGCAGGUCAUGUGCAAAAGUGCAGUCUUUGGUUUGCUCAAAAGGAAAUACUAGUAGAAGGGACCAACAAGGAUUUUGGUGGAAUGGUAAGUACUUCUUCAUUUUUAAUCAGAGGUCUCGGGUUCAAGUCCCCAUGGAUACGGAGUCGUCUUUAUUAGGGAGCGUUUUACCUCAAAUGUGAGACUUCUCGACACGAAUUUGAAUUUAAUCGGAUUCUAAUGUGAAUACCUGACACCAAAUGAAAAACCCAAAAAAAAAAGAAAAAAAGAAAGAGAAAUGCUAGUGGAAGGGGGUCCAUUUAUCCCCAUUUCAAUGAGCAGUUCUUGUAAAAUGACCUUUCAAUUUAGUUGAAAAGCAACAAGGUCCCAAUCCAUCCAUAACUUCAUCUCUUAUUGAUCACUGCUUCAGUACAUCAACAGUGUAUAUAGUUAAGUUUUUCUAGGACCAUUUGUCUUUAAUCAUGGAUCUUGAAUAUACAAUCCCAGUUGGUUUUUAAGCAAGAAAAUGCCCCUACCUCUUAUUAAAGUACAUAUAUACUCAAUGAAGAAUCAAAGAAAAGUAGCACUUGAUCAUUCUUCAUGGAUUUGAAUAUCAACACUUCUGUGAAAAAGACACUUAAUUCACUUAUAAAGCACUAAGGCCUCUAUCAAUCACUUUAUCCUGACUCUCCCAACACAAUUACUGCUACUGUUUAUAGUGUAGUCUGAUUUUGGGACCAUUUUGGCUUUGGUUCUUCAAUAAGUGGAGUUUUAUGCAAGAAUACACAUCAUGAUUCUUGGAACACAUUGAAUAUUAGUAGUAAUUAACACUUCAAAAUUAGGGACAUACAAACAAACCUCAUCAAAAGGAAAUGCAAAACUACUACAUCCAAAUUUGUCAAGAGAAAUACUGAAACCUAAGUUGUUACUCUAGGACCUGAAUUUGUUAAAAGGGAGCUUCACUGGCCAAAAUAUCUGCUGAUCCUCACCAUGCUUUCUCUUCGCCAAAACUGACUUUACAUUCAAAUUUUGACUAUCUGAACUCAUUGAAGAUGAUUCAAACUGGUUUUUAUCAGCAUUUUCGUUCAAAAAGAAUGACAACCCUCUAUUGAACUGUGGAGAUAGAUCAUUCAACUUGCAUUUAUCACCAGCUUUUUCAUCCUCACAUAAAGCGUUCUCAACUCUAGUGCAGGGAACCAAAAACGAACCCAAACGCAGCGAUAAAUCACACCCUAUUACAGUCUGAUUUUCAGAAACAUCUUCAAAAUCUGUCCGAGAAGUUUCACUUGACGCGUUUAAGUUACAUGACAGAGUAUUUCUUAGAGUAAUCUUCUUGUUCUCAUCCAUAAGCUGAGCAUUUGAUUUGUCAUCACUUGUGGAGCCAAAUUUGGGACCGGAAGGUUCAGAUUGACAACCAUUAUACAAAGGAUAUAUAGAACAAGAAGAAGGCGAAGUACGGGUAGUCUGCAUUGGCAAUUUCAGAGUUGAGAAAGGAAGCAUUUUGUUAGAUUGUGGGUUUGAAUUUUUGAGUUUUGAGAAAAAUUGAAUGUUAGGAAAAGGAUUUUCUCUGUUUCUGUCAUGUGAAUUUCCAUUAGCCUGUGGAGUUGGAUAAUAUCUUGGACUAGUGUUCCUUAUUCUUUUUGGUGAGAUCAAAUGCAAAGCAGCUACGAAGAAAGCGAAAAAGAUGAUUAACUCAAAUCAACAUAACAAACAAUUACAACUAUAUCAAUCCAGAAUUUUCAAUUUAGGGUACCUUCAAUACAAGGUUGUAAGAGGCCUCUAGACUUAGAUUCAUCUUUGUAUUCUCUUCUAAUGAUGGUGUCAAUAGCAUCAUUCAAUCUAUCCCAAAGUGUUUUAAGAUCCAUAUACUCAGCCUAAACAAACAACAUACAUAUAAACAACACAUAAUUACAAAUAAAUAAAGUUAAUCAGAAGAAGGGGAAAAGCAAAAACCUCAGAAUUGGCUUUGGAAUACAUAAUUUCCUCAGCUCUAAAAACAACUAUAGGAAGCUUCUCUUGCCAUUCCAUAUUCUUCUUUGUUGCUGAGCCAUGAACCUCAUUCACAAUCCUACCCACUCAAGAAAAACAUAAGAAAUCUUAAACAAAACUCCUCAAAAUGGUGUUGAAAAGGAAGAAAAGAAACAGUACCUGAAAAUUUCUUGAAUAAAGGAACCUCUGAUUGGUUGGUGUGUAUCACUAUGCCAAGCUUUUUUAACACAUUCAUAAGCUCUUGUAGAUUUAGGCAUGUUGAAACAACAAGUAGAAGGAGAAAAGUACAAUAAAGUAUAUAUAUAUAUAUAACUAAAAAUGGUUUUAAAUAAUCUUUGUGAUUACAUCUUUCACCUAUGGAGUAUCUUGGGUUCUCACCACUUUAAUAUUUGCAGUUUUUUUUUCUGUCAUUCACUCAAUAAUUCAUCAAGUGGGGUUCUGUGGGAAGAUUUUUUUAAUUUAAAAAAUCUUUUUUUUUUGUGAAGAGUCUUUGAUGAGUGUCCCCCACUGAAACACAUGCCUGCAUCCCCAGGCCCAAAGGGUCUCUCUCACCUUUGCUCUCUUUCCUGACCAUUCAUGAACUUUUGUCUUUGUGGGGUUGGGGGACUCUCAAACUAAGCCCACAGACAAAGGACCCACCCAAUUUAUCCUAUUUUUUUAUGGAUUGUAUUCGACAUAAAAUUUAAAGGCAUAAUACACUGUUGUCUAUAUUAGUAAAAAUAAUGCAUGCAUUAAUUUUAUGUAUUAGUAGUCUCUUGUUUGAUACACUUUUUCAUGCUAUAUAUAACUAAUGUUUGUAUUGUCUAUUUGAGGAGCAUAUUAUUAAUACCAUGGAUUUCUAGGUAGUAGUAAUGCAAAGGAAUUUAAUACUACAUGUGUAACACCCCAGGAAAUUUUUGAACUAAGACUCAAACCGUUCUUAGUAUUGAGUGAGAUGUCACCAAGGAAUUUAGUAUUUUCCUAAGUGUUAAGGUCACUAGAUGUAGCACCUUGAGUUCCAAGAAGAACUAAAGAGAGUUCAUUCAAGUCAUUCAUAAGUUCUUCUAAGUUUUGGGUUAACUUCAAACGACACUAACAUUCAGUACAUGAUAAGUUAGGUGGGCUAUAAGAUAUCAAAUUAAAGGUCUUUGAAUUAUCUUUCUAACGCCACUGAAUUUGCUAAGUUUCGAGUUCGGAUGAGUGAGAUAUUCCCUUUUUAAGUUAGGCUGUCUAAUUAAGGAAAGUUACCCGAAAAUAGUAAGGGGUAUUUUGGUCUUUUCCUUACCCAAUCAGGUUAAAUUUGUUUUUAGUAAGGUUUUAGGGGUCUAAUCUGAUUAGGUUCAGUUUUAUAAUCCUAAUAUACGCCUAGGGUUUUAGUUGAGAGUUCAAGAAGAGAAAAGAGGAGAAAAGAGGAAAGGAUCAAGGCGUUCGUCGAGGUUCUUGAGUUUUGUUGCAUAUUUUCGUCAUGGGUUUGAUCCCUAAGAGGUAUGUAAGCUUCCAUAGUGUUGGGUUCGUUCACCUACACACCAAUCAUGUUAAUUUCAGCAUUAAAUUCGUUCUAGAAAGUUGAAGGUUUGAUAUUCUUAAAUUGUGUUCUUGAAAUUGGCUUUCGUUUUUGAGUUUAGAUGAGAUUGAUAAGUUCUUGAGGAAAUUCUGUCGAUUUUAGAGCUGUGUUUGAUUAGAUUCUCAUGUACAUGUAUUGGGUAUCUGAAUCUAAAGAGAAAUUGAGAAAAAGCAUCGAAUUUAGGCAAAUUGGGGUUAGAAAAUGAAGAAGGAAAAAGUCAGGAAGAAACUGGGUACCAGGUCUGCGUCACGGACCUGUUCCUCAGAAACAGAACUUUUCUCUCCGCGUCACGGAGAGGUCACGGACCCGUGUCGCGGACUUGCUUCCAGACAGUGAUUUCUUGAUCGUUUCUCAUUUUUAACUAUCUAAAAACACUCGUAAACAUCACAAUAUCUUUCCUAUCAUAAAUCAUAACCUUGAUACCAUAAAUCAAGAGCUAAGAGUUAAGUUUUGAGAGUUCUUUCGAACAUUUUGAGAAAGUCCCUUUGAGUCUUUUUGAGGAGUCUUCUACAGUUUCUAAUAAUGUGUUUCAAGACUCGAGCAAGUGAGUAUGAGUGUGAGGAGAAUGUAUUCAUGAGUCUACUUGGUCAUCACGAGACCCUUCAUAUCAUGAACCAUAAUUCUUGAAUUCAUAAUUCACAUUCAAGGGAGAGUUAAAAGUAGAGUUCAAGAAAGCUUUGGAGUUCAAUUGUGAAUCCUUUGAGAUCAACUAUCGAUUUGAGUUACGAUUGAAGAAGUGAGUAUGAGAACGAGAAGAAUCGUAUACACGAGUUCCAUAUCAUUAUGUAGGCCCUUGAGUCGAGUCGUUCAUUCCCAUAAAUUCUGCAUGAACUCCAUGAGUUGAGUAUCUUUGAGAUGAGUGGUAUCUUCAAGUUCUAAGUCUUGAGUAUUAAGUUUAUAACCCUUUUGAGAUUAUAUUCCUAAUCAUGGGACUAUUACAUGUUACCCAUGAAGUCCUUGAGUUGAGUAGUUCAUGACCAUAACUCUGCAUGAACCCUAUAAGUCGAGCAGUCUUGAGAUGAGAAGUAUCUUUUAGUGCUUGAGUUAAGUAGUUCAUGUUCACAAUUCCGCAUAAACCCUUUGAGUUGAGCAUUUUUGAAAUGAGUAGUAUCAUUGAAGUUCUUGAGUUCUAAGUAUGAGUUCUAUCCAUGGUUAUUGAAACCUUGAAUUGAGUCGUUCGCGUCCAUAAAUCGGCAUGAACUCUAUUUUAAAAAGUCUUUUGCAAAUGCUUUAAACUUGUUUUAAGACUUGAGUUUUGAGUUGAGUAAAGAGUAAAGAGUGACGUUCUUUUCUUCAAAAGAGUACAUGGGGACUAUGUAUUCCUAAAGAGUAAAUGUUUUCACAUUUAAAAAAGAAAGGAAACACCAAUUUCCAAAAAGAGCCUUUGAGCUAGUUUUUCAGUAAAGAGUAAAUGUUUUCACAUUUAAACAAGAAAGGAAACACCGAUUCCCAACAGAGCCUUUGAACUAGUUUUUCAGUAAAGAGUGAAUGCUUUCAUAUUUAAGCAAGAGAGGAAACACUAAUUUCCUAGAGAGCCCUUGGGCUAUUUUUUGAGUAAUUAUUUCAAACCACAGAAAAAGUUAUGUUUUUAAACAUAUGAGCUUGUUAUAUUUUGGCAGUAGUAUUAAGCACCUAUAUAAGGGAGAGUUCAGACAACUCACAACCCCCAUAAACCAUGUAGCCAACGUGGGUAGAAAAGGGUCAUACUUUUUAUAUGAUUCUUUAGUGCAUUUUAGCAUAGACUAGUGGAUCCACUUAGUAGUUAGGUUCUAUACCCCUGGCAAGGUAUAUGACAAUUGUAACACCCCGUAUCCUAGACAGACCAGAAUGCAUAUUCCAGAAGUUGCAGGUGCCAUCGAUGGGCACCACCUACGGAUUGUAGGGUGACCCAUGAACCAUAGAUGGGGUCCGUGGAUGGCCUUCUGCAGCUCCUCUCCAGAAAGCCCAGAAAAUUUAGCUAAUGGUAGACCCACACCAAGACCUACGGAUCGUAGGUAGGACCAUAGUCCGUGGUUCUGACCCCCAAACCUAGUCUCUGAAGCUAGUCGUUGGUUGACUAGGAUGGACUGUGGGUCAGUCCACGGACCAUCGGUUCACCCCGACAACUUUUAAGUCAAGGGUCGUUUGGUCUUUUCCCUAUGCAUUGGAGCCCUAAACUACGUCAUUUAACCCUUAAACUACGUAGUUUUGGUCAGUUUUAGCCUAAUAACUUAAUUAGAACUUACCCUAGUCAACUUAUUCUCCAAAAAAUCAUCAAGUUGAAUGAAAAGAAAGAGAAAGAGUUGACCAAGCCCUAGUUCAGAUCAUAUCGUUACUUUAUCUCUUUGUUCAGUUAUAUGUUUUAUUCAGCUUUAUUCUAUCCUACAUGCUCAGUACCUUUCAAGUACUGACGCAUACUCUACGCUAACUCUUCUCGUGAUGUAGGUUCAAGUACUCAGCAUUCAGAUCACGCAUAGAUCAGUUCCCGAUCUCCAGUUCAGCAGCAUCAGUGGUGAGUCCUCAUUCUUCAAGGAUGAGUGACAUGUUAUCUUUCCAUUUUUAGUCUUUAGUUUCAGUUUUCACUAGAGUUAGCUGGGACAUGUCUCAACAUCUCUAGUCAGUAGAGGCUUUUAUUCAGAUAUAGUUCAGAUUCAGUUUUAGUUUGAGUUUGAUCUUUCAGUUGUCGUUAAACUCAUUUUCAGUUUUAUCUUCAGAUAGUAUUGGGUAUUCCCCUUCAUUUAAUUUUAUGAUAUGUUUCUAGCUUCCGCAUAGUAUAUUUUAUUUAGUAAUAUUUUUGUAUGCUUAUGAUAUGCCAGCACAGGGUUAGCUUGGGGUCACUCGUGAUCCUAGGUCCCGUAUUACGUCCAAGGGUAGCCUCGGGGUGUGACAAACUUGGUAUUAGAGCACUAGGUUUAAGUGUCCUAGGUUGUCUUAAAAGCCACACUAAGUAGAGUCCUUUUCAUAGGUGUGAAGUGCACCACAUCUAAUGAGAGGGAGGCUACGGAGUUUUUUAGGAAAACUUCAUUUUCUUGAUAUUCUUAUCAUGCGUUGGUAUGAUCUCUCUUUCUAAUCCAUCGUUAUGUGUUGUCAGAUCAUGCCUCCUUAUAGAGCUUACGCAAGAAAUGCGAAUGCCCGCAACACUAACGCGGCUCCUCUAGUCCUAAAUCAGGAAGUUUCGAAUGUAGAGUUUCGGAAUGCUAUUCAGCUUUUGGCUCAGAGUGUGACUAAAUAGAACAAUCUGCAGGCCCUAAUUCCUGCUAACACUAAUGUUGGGUCAGCUGCAGCUAGCAUUCAAGAUUUUGUUAAGAUGAAUCCACCUGAGUUUCUAGGGUCGCAGGUUGGUGAGGAUCCCCAUAACUUCAUUGAUAAGGUCAAGAAAAUCUUUGGAGUGAUACAAGAGACUGGUAACGAUAGGGUAGAGUUGGCAUCCUACCAGCUUAAGGAUGUAGCUCCAUAUGGUUUACUCAAUCGAAAGAAAAUAGGGGUACGGAUGCAGUUCCUAUCACUUGGGAGUGUUUUAGUGAGACAUUUCUAGACCGGUUCUUCCCAAGAGAGUUGAGGGAGGCAAAAGCUCAGGAGUUUAUGAAUUUGAGGCAAGUUAGCAUGUGAGUCCAAGAGUACGGACUCAAGUUCACCCAACUUUCUAGUUGUGAUGCUCACGUGGUUGUUGAUCCAAGGGCACAAAUGAAUAAGUUUCUGUAUGGGGUAUCCGACUUAGUGAAAACAGAAUGCAGAAAUAUUAUGUUGCUGGAAAAUAUGAACAUCUCUAGGCUUAUGACCUAUGCUCAGCAGGUUGAGGGAAAUAAGCUUAGGAACAUGCUAAGGAUAAUAAGAAAGCUAGGACAGGAAACUAUAAGUAUUCUCAGCACAAAUCGAGUGGUGGAAAUCGCUCUCAAUUCCUGCAUAAAUCUUCAGCUCCAGCAUAAAUCUUUAGCUUCAGCACCUUCAUCAGCUAGUGCUCCAUCCUCUAAGUUUCUUCAGGAUCAGAAAGGUAGGGCAUCAGGAUCUAAGUCUCAGGGGAGUGUUUCAGGUAAUAAGACCUACCCAACUUGUCAUAAGUGUGGUAAGAACCAUCCGGGCGAGUGUCUUGCAGGGAGGAAGGAUGUUUUGGUUGUGGUCAGACUGGUCACAGGUUGAGAGAUUGUCCUUCUUCUAAACAGAGUCAUGGAGGUAACAAUAGUAUGGCUCAGUCUACACCUCCAGCAGCACUAGCAAGUUGCCCAACUCAGCAGGGUGCUUCAUCUGGUAUAGGUGGCGAUCAGCACCAGAACAUGUUGUAUGCCUUCCAGGCUCACCAGGAUCAGGAAGAUUCUGCUGAUGUGGUUACUGGUACAUUGCGAGUCCUUCAUUUAGAUGUUUAUGCUUUGUUAGAUCCAGGGGCUACUCUUUCCUUUAUAACUCCCUAUAUAGCAGUAAAAUUUGGUGUUAGUCCAGAAACUCUUUGAGAACCCUUCUCAGUCUCUACUCUAGUUGGUGACCCAGUUAUAGCUAGACGGGUAUAUAGAAAUUGCAUUGUCACAGUUUCUCUAAAACCUCAACAAAUCUUGUAUAGUUAGAAAUGGUAGACAUUGAUGUCAUUCUAGGCAUGGAUUGGUUACAUUCCUGUUAUGCCUCAGUCAAUUAUAGAACUAAGAUUGUUUGUUUUCAGUUUCUAGAUGAUCCAAUCUUAGAAUGGAAGGGUAGUAGAUUAGUGCCUAUGGGUCGAUUCAUUUCUUACCUUAAGUCCAGAAAGUUGAUUUCUAAGGGUUGUCUCUAUCAUCUAGUUCGGGUUAAGGAUUCUAGCUCCAAACCCUAACUCUUGAGUCAGUUCCUGUAGUUAAUGGGUUUCUAGAACUGUUUCCAGAAGAUCUUCCUGGAGUUCCUCUUGAAAGGGAAAUUGACGUCAGAAUUGAUCUCCUUCCAGAUACCUAACCUAUUUCUAUUCCUCCUUACAGAAUGGCUCCAGCUGAGCUUAAGGAAUUGAAAAAGCAGUUAAAAGACCUUCUAAAUAAAGGCUUCAUCAGACCCAAUAUAUCCCCAUGGGGUGCACCAGUGUUGUUCGUGAAAAAAAUGGUUUUCUCAUGAUGUACAUUGACUAUCGGCAAUUGAACAAAGUCACAAUUAAGAAUAAGUACCUUAUCCCCAUGAUUGAUGACUUGUUUGACCAACUUUAGGGUGCUAGUCAUUUUUCGAAGAUAGACCUCAGAUCCGGUUAUCAUCAGCUUAGAGUCAGAGAUAGUUACAUUCCGAAAACAGCCUUCAGAACUCGGUAUGGUCAUUAUGAAUUUGUAGUUAUGUCAUUUGGACUAAUCAAUUCUCCUGCAGCUUUCAUGGACUUGAUGAACAGGGUGUUCAAGCAAUAUUUGGACUUGUUCGUUAUCGUCUUUAUUGAUGAUAUCCUCAUUUAUUCUAGGAAUAAGGAAGAACAUGCGACUCAUUUGAGGGUGGUCCUGCAAAAUCUCAAAGAUCGCCAGUUAUUCACAAAGUUUAGCAAAUAUGAGUUUUGGUUGCAAUUAGUUGCUUUCCUUGGGCAUAUUGUGUCUAGUGAAAGUAUCUGAGUGGAUUCUCAGAAAACAGAAGUAGUGAAACAAUGGCCCAGACCUACCUCUCCUACGGAUAUCAGAAGUUUCAUGGAAGGAAUUUCAUCCAUAGCUUCUCCAUUGACUAAGUUGGCUCAGAAAAAGGUCAAGUUUCAGUGGUCAGAUGAGUGUGAGAAGAGCUUCGCUGAACUGAAAACUAGGUUGACUACAACUUAUGUUUUGACUCUACUAGAGGGUUUAGACGGUUAUGUGAUCUACUACGAUGCGUCCAGAGUCGGCCUAGGUUGUGUGUUGAUGCAGUGAGGUAAGGUUAUAUCGUAUACUUCUAGACAACUUAAGGUGCAUGAGAAGAACUAUCUGACUCAUGACCUCGAGCUUGCAGCCGUAGUAUUUGCCCUUAAGAUUUGGAGACACUACUUGUAUGGUGUUCACAUAGAUGUGUUCACAGACCAUAAGAGCCUUCAGUAUGUGUUCACCCAAAAAGAGUUGAACCUUUGCCAGAGGAGAUAACUUGAGCUCCUCAAGGACUUUGAUGAUAUGAAUGUACUUUACCAUCCUGGUAAGGCCAAUGUAGUAGCAGAUUCUCUUAGCAGACUAUUUAUGGGUAGCGUAGCACAUGUCGAGAAAAAAAGGAAAGAACUAGCAAAAGAUGUUCACCGGCUUGCUCGUUUGGGAGUUCGCCUUAUGAGCAUAUCAGAUGGUGGUGUAACAGUUUAGAAUGGGUCAAAAUCUUCAUUGGUAGUGGAGGUUAAAGAAAGACAAGACAGUGAUCCAAUAUUGCUUCAACUAAAGGGUGCAGUCCAUCAACAGAGGGUUGAGGUUUUCUCCCAAGGGGGAGAUGGUGUGCUUCACUAUCAUGGUCGUUUAUGUGUUCCUAAGAUGGGUGAGUUGAGACAACAAAUUCUCGCAGAAGCCCAUAACUCCAGGUAUUCUAUUCAUCCAGGCACCGCUAAGAUGUACCGUGAUCUGUGGGAAGUCUUUUGGUGGAAUGACAUGAAAAAGGAUAUAGCAGAUUUAGUGGCUAAGUGUCCUAAUUGUCAACAAGUGAAGGUAGAACAUCAGAAACCAGAGGGUAUGAAUCAACAGAUCAACAUUCCUACUUGGAAGUGGGAAGUGAUCAACAUGGACUUCAUUACAGGUUUACCUCAUACUCGCAGACAUCAUGACUCCAUUUGACUGAUAGUUGACAGAGUUACUAAGUCUGCACACUUUUUGGCUGUCAGGACUACUGAUUCGGAGGAAGACUACACCAAGCUUUACAUUAAUAAGAUAGUCAAGUUACAUAUGGUUCCUUUGUCUAUCAUCUCAGAUAGAGGUCCUCAGUUUACCUCUCAUUUCUGGAAGUCUUUUCAGAAAGGUCUUGGUACUUAUAUUAAUCUUAGCACAUCAUUUCAUCCAUAGAUGGAUGGUCAGACAUAGCGUACUAUUCAGACCUUAGAGGACAUGUUGAGAGCUUGUGUGAUCGACUUCAAGGGUAGUUGGGAUGAUCACCUUCCUCUUAUAGAGUUCGCCUACAAUAAUAACUACCACUCCAGUAUUCAGAUGGCCUUUUAUGAGGCAUUCUAUGGGUGCAGAUGUAGAUCUCCAGUUAGGUGGUUUGAGGUAGGUGAAUCAGCCUUGAUAGGGCCUGAUUUGGUUCAUGAUGCUACGAAAAAAGUUUUGCUCAUCAGAGACAGACUUCAGACAGCCUAGAGUCGCCAGAAGACUUAUGCAGAUGUAAGGAGAAGGGACUUGGAGUUCCAAAUUGAUGAUGGGUUUCUUGAAAGUGUCACCUAUGAAGGGGGUGAUGAGAUUUGGCAAGAAAGGGAAGAUCAAUCCUAGAUAUGUAGGCCCUUACAAGAUCUUGAAAAAAGUUGGUAAAGUGGCUUAUGAGUUAGAGUUGCCAGACGAACUAGCAGCAGCGCAUCCGGUCUUUCAUAUUUUGUUGUUGAAAAAGUGUGUGGGUGAUCCAGCAUCUAUAACACCUUUGGAAAGUGUGGCUGUGAAAGAUAGUCUCACUUAUGAGGAUGUGCCAGUUGAGAUUCUUAUUCGUCAAGUUCGUAGGUUGAGAAACAAAUAAGUCGUUUCAGUUAAGGUUUUGUGGAGGAUUCAGUCCGUAGAGGGAGCUACUUGGGAAGCAAAUGUAGCCAUAAAGUCCAAGUAUCCUCAUCUCUUUCCUUCUAAUUCCAUUCCAGUUUGAGGUAAUAGUUCCUCUCCAGUGCUUCAGUUACUCAUGCGUAGAUUCAAUCUUAGUAUCAUGUUCCUUCGGUUGUUCUUGCAUUUUCAGCAUAUUUGCAUGUUCUUGGAACUUAGUUGAGUCAUAUUUCAGUUUUCAGUGUUUAGUGAUAGGGUUUUCAACUCUUUCCCUCCACCUUCAGCUAGUUUUAGUCUUCAUUCAAGGACGAAUAUUCCCAAGGGGGAGAUAAUGUAACACUCUAUAUCCUAGACAGACUAGAAUGCAGAUUCCAGAAGUUACAGGUGCCACCGACAGGCACCACCCACGGACCGUAGGGUGACCCACAGACCGUAGGUGGGGUCCAUGGAUGGCCACUUGCAGCCCCUCCACAGAAAGCCCAGAAAAUUUGGCUAAGGGUAGACUCACGCCUGGACCUACGGAUCGUAGGUGAGGCCAUGGUCUGUGGUCAAGGUCAGUGGUUCAGACCACGAGAACCUAGUCUCUGAAGACAGUCAACGAUUGACUAGGACUGACCGUGGGUCAGUCCACGGACCGUCGGUUGGCCCCGACAACUUUAAGUCAGGGGUCGUUUGAUCUUUUCCCUAUGCGUUGGACCCCUAAACUACGUUGUUUAACCCCUAAACUAUAUAGUUUUGGUUAAUUUUAGCCUAGUAACUUAAUUAGAGCUUACCUUAGUCAACUCAUUCUCCAAAUAAUCAUCAAGUUGAAUGAAAAGAAGGAGAAAGAGUCGACCAAGCCCUAGUCCAAGAACGCAUCAAGUUUUCUUCAGUUCCAGCCUCAAAAUCGAAAGAUUUCUCCGUGAAUUUCAUCACCAGGUAUAUGGAAUUUCACUAGUGGGUUCCUUUCACUCAUUAGGUCCUUAGAAUUCAAUCAAAUUCUUGAUUCUCUACAUCAUGCUUAGACCUAGGGUUUCUAGAAUUUCAAAUUUAUGUUAUGAUUCAAUUGGUAGAUUAAUCCAAAUCAGAUUAUCAUGUUUUUGAGGAAUUGUUUCUUAGCUUAUUUCAUGAAACUCAGAACCCUAGUUGUGUAGAUUCGUUUAGUUCAUGAAUUACACUUGCUAGGUCAGUUUAUUCAGUUAUACAUGCCCCAGUUAAGAAUGUUUCAUUAUUAGUAUAUUAAUGUUGCAUUUUCAGUUAGCAUGUCAGUAUUUUGAGUUAUUCAGUAUUACAAAUGUUCAGUCAUAAUAUGUUAAUUACAUAAUCAGUUGGGAGUAGGCUUAAUACCAAGUGGACUAAGGGCCAGUCACCCUCAUAGUCCCAGAACUACAUGCCCCCGUAGGUAAGUCCCCUCUGUGGGCAUUAUACUUAGUGAUCAUGCCAGUCAUGCCUCUAUACCCUUGGAAAGGUAUAUUGGGUCCUCUCGAUGGGACAUAUACAUCGGAAUCCACAUUUAACUCAUGUGGUUUUAUGUCGGUUAUUAGUAGCUUCCACAGACAGAUUCUAGUGUAUUUACCAGGUUAUCAGUUAUAGUUCAGUAUUUAGUCUCAGUAUGUUAUAAGUUUUGUCACUACAUUCAGUUAGUUUAUAUUCAGCAUGUCUAGCAUAUUUAUGUUCAAAUUCUAUCAUUGCUUUAUCGCUUUGUUCAGUUAUAUGUUUUAUUCAGCUUUAUUCUAUCCUGCGUGCUCAGUACCUUUCAAGUACUGACGCAUACUCUGCGCUACAUCUUCUCGUGAUGUAGGUUCAGGUCCUCAACAUUCAGAUCAUGCAUAGAUCGGUUCCUGAUCUCCAGUUCAGCAGCAUCAGUGGUGAGUCCUCAUUCUUCGAGGACGAGUGACAUGUUAUCUUUCCAUUUUCAGUCUUUAGUUUCAAUUUUCGCUAGAGUUAGCUGGGGACCUGUCUCAGCAUCUCUAGUCAGUAGAGGCUUUUAUUCAGACAUAGUUUAGAUUCAAUUUUAGUAUGUGUUUGAUCUUUCAGUUGUCGUUAAACUCAUUUUCAGUUUUAUCUUCAGACAGUAUUGGGUAUUCCCCUUCUUUUCAUUUUAUGAUAUAUUUCUGGCUUCCGCAUAGUAUAUUUUAUUAAGUAAUCUUUUAUAUUCUUAUGAUAUGCCAGCUCAGGGUUAGCUUGGGGUCACUCGUGAUCCUAGGUCCUGUGUUUACGUCCAAAGUGGUAGCCUCGGGGCAUAACAACGGCCCUGGCAGCGUGAGGAAAAACGUUGUAUCAUCACAUAGCUCAUAAGAGAUGGUUGUCGGUUAGAGAAACUCCCGCGGAGAUAUUUUGUAUUCUUAUAUACACACAGUUUAUUGUGUAUUUUCAUAUACAAAUAGAGUUUAUAUUGUAUCCUUGCAUACAAACUGAGUAUAUUGUAUUCUUAAAUACAUUGAGUUGCUUUCUAUUGUUAUAAAAACUUUCCAUAUAUUGCAUCUCUUAUUGUUGCUUUAUAUUGAUUUGAGUAUCCAGAGUUGAGUAUAUAGAGUUGAGUACCCAGAGUCGAGUGUCUGAUAAUUGAGUUGAGUCUUAUUUCACUAUGUUGAGUAUCUUAUCAUUGAGUUGAGCCUUAUUUCACUGAGUUGAAUGUCUUAUCAUUGAGUUGAGCCCUAUUUUCUAUGAGUUGAGUUGAACUAUGUUUCUUUAAGUUGAGUCGAGUUAAGUUAAGUGAGUUGAGAAGAGGUAAGUAUGUUGCUAUUCCACCAGUUCAAGCUUAUGUUCAUGAUUUAGAAUUUCCCUUACAUGCUCAUAUAUUCCGUGUAUUGAGCCAUUUGGCCUACAUCAUUUCAUGAUGUAGAUACAUGUAUUCAGGAUCAUCAACAGGAGAUUCGUUGAUACCACAUGCAGUUCGAGUUAGCUAUGGUGAGCCUGCUUGCUUCUGGAGGGUUCCACUUGUACUUUCAGUUAUAUCAGUAUUAGGAUGUCGUGGGUCUUGUCCCUAUGUCCAUCUCAGUUGUUAGAGGCUUCUUAGACAGUUAGUUGAUGUUAGUUCUCGAGUCCUUCCAUUUCAGUUAUGCUUGAGACUUGAGUUGCCACUUUGGCCAACGAAUGUUUAAAUAUAAUACAUUCCCAGUUAUCUUUGAGUUUUCAGUUUACUUUUGAAAGUACAUUUAUGUUGAGUAAAGUCUUCUGCUAAGAUUUAAGCCAUGCCAAUGGUUCGCUUAGGGACAACAAUGGUUCUCGAGUGCCAGUCCUGCCCAGGGUGUAGGCUCGGGGUAUGACAAAUUUGGUAUAAGAGCACAUAGUUCAAGAGUCCUAGGGAGUUUAUGAAUCAGUGUCUGUUGAGUUCUAGUUAUUGGUGUGAAGCGCACCAUAACUAUAAUUAGGAGGUUGCGACACAUACGAACUAUGUCACUUCUUUCAUACUCAUUUCGUGCAAUAGAAUGUAUAUCUAUAAAAGUUUCUUUCUAAAUCGUGCUUGCGCGUGUCUUUUAGAUCAAUCCUACAUGAAGACCUGUCAGAGGUCGUCCGGAUAGAAGGAAUAUUGAACCACAGGAACAAGGGGUACCUAAUGCACCAUAAGUGCAACCCCAAUGAGAGGUCAUUAAUGCUGAAUUCUGUGAGUCCAUCUGGAUGUUGAGCCAAAUUGUGACCAACCAAGCUGGGCAACAAAGAGAGAAUCAUCGAGAAGUGGCUCAUAUUUCUAGAGUCUGUGAGUUCUUAAGGAUGAAUCACAUGCAUUAGCAUAUUCAAAGACUUAAUUACUCAUCAAAAACACUUUUACAUCUUUUUUCAUCAUAAUAGUGGAGGAUAUUUUUGUAAAUAAUAUUCUUAUACAAUGAUUGACAUAGUGAGUUUACUAUUUUAUCCUUAUUAAUUAUGAAGUUGAUGAAUUAAAAAUUUAACAUUUUCAAAAAAUUCUACAUUUUUCAAAAUUAAUUAAUUAAAAAUAUAAUAGGUAAAAAAAUUGUCCUUUUUUAUUUGUCAAAAUGAACAAGUAAAAAAUAACAAUUUGACAAAUAGUUAGGGACAAAGGGUCUGAGCAUAACCUAUUCUAAAAUGAUUGCCAGCUUAAGUCAAUUUAAUUCUCAAUUUCAACAAGCUUUCUAUUUUUAAGAAUAAUUAAAAGAAAAAGAGAUGUUGCAUAUCCAUGACUCUGAUCUUAACAACAAGAGUGAUUUACGGAUAAGUAUAAGAUUAAUGUAUUAAUCUAACUGAUGUAUUAAUAUAAUCACUCUAAAUCAAUUAUUAAAUAUGACCCAUUCAACAAGUGUUAAUUCCUUAAAACUAUAUCAAAUUGCAAAUAUAUAGAGUUGAUUAAUUCCAGCCACAACUUGAUAGAAAAUUUUCUAUUACUAAAUAUUGUCCUCAUGUUAUUACAGUAUUUAAUUUAAAUAUAAAAGCAUCGUUAGCAAAUCGUGCCUUGUAAAUAGGAAAUAGAUUUGAUAUUAGCGUCUCAUUCACACGAAAAUUUAGACCGUACAGUCACUAGGAUUAAAUAUACAUCCUUAAUUAAUAUAAUUCCAGCUGUAAGACAAAAUCACACAUCUUUUAGACAAGUUUAGUAAAUCUCCAAAAUGAUUAAUCAAAUAUAUAAAAGUACAUUAAAUAUAUUAUUAUUUUUAUCGAAAUGAUUUAUUGUUUUAACAUAGAAAUUCAAGAUGCUAGAAUACUACUAAAUGAAUUGGUCAUUUAAUUAAAGUGAAUUUUGCAUCCACAAUACAUCAAUGAGAUAAUAUUAUUUAGACUAAAUUAGGCAGAUCAUGUUUCAAUUUAAUUUUUAGCUUAAUUUAGUUCAAAAUAAAUUCGAACAAAUCUUAAUUCAAUCAUAUUUUUUGUUCAAACUCAUUUUUACUUCUCCAAUUCAGUCAAAGUGGUCCAUUUGUCACCUCUAAUUUGAGGUAUCAUUUGUCACCGUCGGUAGGGGAAAUGGCAGGCGAACCCUAGCCUCAUAAUAUAUUUAAUCCACUCAUUAGUCAUUACUGUACGUUUCACUGUUCACCCAAAACUUUUUUACUCUUUUAGACUGUUCAGAAAGAUUACAGUUGCUCCACUCCGAUUCGAAAUAUAUAAUACAGAAACAUGUCUUUUAACUAAAUUUUAUUUUAUAUUUAUAUUCUUCAAUUUUGAAUAUGUAUAAGUAGACAUUUAAAUUUCUAUAAAGUUGAACAAAUAGAUGCAUGAGUUUUAUGUGACAUAAUACUUAUAGGACAUAACAUAUGACACAAAUUAUCAUAUAAGAUGUCACAUAAAAUUGUGGGUCUAUUUAUUCAAAUUUAUAUAAAUAUAAGUAUAUACUUGGGUACACCCAAAAUUGAAAGCAUAAAUGUGAAAUAAAAUUAAAUUAAAAGGUAUAUUUAUGUAUUAUGCCUAUUAGAAAUGCUUUAAAAUUGGCUUAAGUCAUCGACAACCACUUAAAGUUGUCCCCAUAAUUCAUUUGAACACCUCAACUAAGGUUUGUACCUAUGAACACCUCUACCCCUCAGAAUUGAUAUCGUUUUGACUUUUUUCUAACAAUCAAUAAAAAAUUUAAAGUGUGUGAGCUACACUCGUGAUGACAUGACACAAUAACGAAUUAAAUUGUAACACGUGUCAUUUGGGUUCAAAAAUUUAUUUAAGAAAAUAUUAUAAUUUCUUUAAAAAAUAAAUAAAAAAAUAGAAAAGUAAAAAUUAGCCCUUCACAACCCACCCACCCAAAACCUUCCGGUAGGAAUCAGCCGCCACCACAGUCCGUCCACCAGUUCGCCCACCCGUCCGUCCAACAUUUAUUUCUGUAAUCAACACCAUAGAUGCCAUCUACCCUCACCCUUUUAUUUCGAUUUGUGAUUUUCAUCAUUAUCAUAAUUGUCAUUUCUCCUAUCUCAUUCUCUUUCUCAAACAUCAAUUAAAAUUUGUCGAUAAUUUUUAUAUUGCGGGUUCUUUAGGGUUUGAACUCUUUAACAAUUUUUUUUAAAAAAAUGAAAUUUGUACUAUUCUUGUCGGAAAAAAUGGAGGUUCGUCGGAUUUUUUUUUACUUUUGACCCAAUCUGAUUUUAUUUUCUUGAUUGCAUUUACUUUGACAACUUUAACUCUUUUGAAAUUUUCAGUUAGAUUUUUUCAGAUUUAUAUCAGUUCUUUUGAAUUUUUCUGAUUUGACUGUCAUUUGUUUAAUAGGUAGUUCUCCAAUAAAGAUAAUAAUGACGAUAUUGGUGAUGGAGAAAUGAUAUUAGAAAGGAAAAACGAAGGAGAAUAUAGAAAGGGGUGAAGGUGGAACAAUGGCAGAAAGAUUGAGCUGGUGAAGAAAGGUGGAAGAUUAAGGUGGUGUGGAAUUAAUUUUGAGGAAGAAGACUGCUAAAGAUUUUUUUUUUAUGUUUAGAUUUUUGCUCAACUUUUAAAAUGUUGACAUGUCAAUAUUUGAAUGGAUUGUACUAAUGUUUCUUUUUGCUUCACGCGCUUCUCAAGGGUGUAAUACACCUUUGAUGCCAUAUCAUCAAAAAGUACUUAAUAGGUACAUGUUUUGAAUAAGAUAGGUGUUGAAACCCAAUUUUGGACCUGCACAAUAUAAAUUAAUCAUCGAGUUUCAUAAAUCAAAACGAUUUGAAAUAAUUGACUUUAUAAAGUUCAAAAUAUUUUUCAAGUUAAUUUUACAAGUUUUAUAAUUUUUAAAUUAGCAUAUAUGUUUUAUAUAAUUUUGUAUAUAAUUAGUAUAUUUUAUAAACAUUUCAAAAACCAUCUCAAAAAGAUUUUAAUUUUAGUAAGUAUUUUAUUGAAUUAAUUUUGUCUAAAUUAGUAGUUUAUAUUUUGAGUCAUUAGUAUAUUAAGUUAAUUAUUCUAUGUCGUUAGAAGUAAGAAGCUCUUUAAUUAAUUCAUAUUGAUUCAUCUUGUUUAAGAUUUGGCCAAAGUUCUCCGAUCAAAAUUCAUUUGACCACUUUUGUAGUUAUAAUUUCAACUACACAAAAAAAAAAUUCCUUCCAAUUUUUGGACCCAAGUUGGCCCACUUUCACGCACAUUUUAAUUUCCAGUCCGCUACCUCAAUCCCCUUUAAUUUUCAGCAGCCCAAUUCCUCACACCUGACCCGACCCAUUUCCAAUUAUAAAGAGACCUAUAACAUCAUCAGCACAACAGUUCCAAACGCUCACAGAAAGCACGUUAACUCCAGCAAACGACAACAACAGAGGCAGCGAUACACGACGUCUUCAUAUCCUCAACAAAACGACAAUCCAGCAAUGACUAAAUGACGCCCCAACGUUCAUCAACUCAUGGCAUGAACACAGAAUAGCACACGGAAGAGCAGAACACGGAACAUUACUUUGCUCCUCCUUGUCUCCUUCCUCAAUUUCUCUCUCCAAUUAAUGUCGCAGUAGCAAGCGUUUCUUCCUUUUACCUCUUUGGGAAUGGGGUGAAAUUUCGGAAAAAGUUUGUCUCUCCGAAAUUGUGAAUGAAAUUUUGAGUUUGAAUUCGAAAAGGGCCCUUGAAUUUGAGUUUUUGGAUCCCUUUUCCCCCAUUUUUUCUGAACCUAAUUUCCCUUCUAUAUAAUUGCUUUUGUUCACAGUUGAAGGGGGAGAGAUUUUUUAGUUGAAAAUUCUUUACUAAGGCAGAGAAAAAAGUUGAAAAGUAUUGGAAAAAAUCGGUGAGAGUUUACAGAGGAGACGAUUCCAAAGCUACAAAAUUAUAUAAGAAAUACUCCUCACAUUCCUUUUCUUUUCCGUGUGCGCUGGUUGCUGGAAUUCUCGAUGAAUUCUCGAGGUCUUUGUGUAGUGGUGGACGCUUCUCGUGGUUAGCUUGUUCUCGUCUCAGUUCACUGCCCCCGAAAAGGUAAACUUCUUUUCAAUUCCAACUCUUCAGUUGUCGUUCUAUUUUUUUUUAUGAGUUGAAAUGGUUUGUUGGUUUAUUUUCUUCAUCUCUUGAAUGUCUUUCUUCUCCUCUGUUCACCGCUCGUGUAUGGUAGCCGAGCGAUUGGGUCUGAGUUGGUGUUCUUAGUCGUCUCCAUGAGUUAGUCGUAAUAUUGAUUUGAAGCUCUGUUGAUUUAUAUUUAGCGUUGAUGGUUCCCCCCUUCUUGUUUGAGUUUAUUUCGUUAUUCCCCUUCUCUAAUCCAUUACUUGAAGGUUGUUGAGUUUUUGCUUCUAUCUCUGCCUAUUUGAGGUUUGUCUGAACAUGAUUUGAGUUAUGUUUUAUUUUUCUUUUUCGUUAGUAUUGUCUGAUGUAUAUGGAAGUUGUAUGUGCUUUCUCUGGGUAUUUUAAACAUAAAUCCCUUUUUCCCUCUAAGUAAUGGCAGCCACCUUAAUUUUCAAUAGUUGAGGUUGUUCACAUGAAAUUUGUUGGACUUACUCGUCCUCUAUUAGCUUGCUUAUUACUUUUAUUGUGAGCAUGAAAAGCCUUUUUAUUUUAAGCUUUGAUUUAGCUUCUUGAAAUUGAUUUUAAUCGCUUAUUCGUUCCAUGUUUUGGUAUAUUAGUUGUUGUCUAUGACACUUUUCUGAUUGCCUCAAGGUGUAAACUCUUUUAGAUUUUCAACCUCUUUAAAGUUCUUUUGUGGGAGAGGUUGAGUUCAUGUAAGUGUGACAAGAAUAUCAUUUCUUUCCUGUCGUAUUUCGCUGCCAAAAAUGGUUAGAAAAGCUCCUAAAAUAUCAUGUUCACUAUCCUGAAAUGUCUUCAUAACUGCCAGCCAGCCCCUUUCCAGAUGCCCCCUCUAUUUUGUUGUCAUUAUUUAAUGUCAUUGUGGCUGAUGGUAUUGGGGUAUAACUAACAAAUUUUUCGGUAUACAAUUUGAUGUUUACUCAUACUUUGAGUGGAGCUUUUCUCCUCUUAGUUUAGCAUCUUGAAAAAGCUCUUCUUGAAUUAAUCAUGUGUUUUGUGUAAAAAUUGAACAACUAAGGGUAUUUCCUUUAUUUGUGCAUACUUUGUUGACAAUUAAUUCCCUUUGGGUUUGAAUUAUAACACUGUUAAGGUAAUUUCUUGUGACAAAUAUGUUUAUAUUUAUUAAGAGAAAGAAUUUAUGCCUAAUCUAUUUUUUUAUCUAUCUUUAUCUUUGUAAUGUUGCACUUUUAUUAUUUUUAAAAGAGUUCUUUGGAAUAUAUGGUUUAAUUGGGUCAUAUUUCACCUAAGAUCACCAUACUUUAUUAGUUUAAAAUGCAUAUUUUGGACUAUAAUUUUUGAGUGUCAAAUGUGUGAAUUUUAGAUGCUAUUUAACCGAGGAUAAAAUGUGUUAGUUUCUUUUGUUUAAGUCACUUAAGAAUUGUGAUUUAGAGUAGCUUUUCCAUGGUUACUUACUGAUUUUCCUUUCUUUCCAUGUUUUACUGUAUGUGACAUCUGUUUAAGUCCUCAGGGACUCUAUCUCCGCAUUUCCAAAGGGGUCAUGAAGGCCCUAAUAUUCUUUAUUUGAGUCAGCCAGCCAUCAGGAGUGAAGAAUAAUUCCCUUGAAAUCGAAGAACAGGUCCUUCAAAAAUUGACGAAUAGGGUUUGGAGCUGAUACGAAAUUGUAUACACUAGUAUACACCUAGUGUAUACGAAAAAAAUGAGAAGAUGGGCUUAAAGAGUCUCUCUCUUCUUUAAGAAGUUGUAUUUUGUUAUGUUUGGGCCUAAGCCCUCUUAUUUCCAUUAUUAUAAUGUGUUAUUUAUUAGGACAGGUAUCAAAUGGAAGAAGUGGGCCUAAAUCCCAAUGAGAAAAUUAGCCUAUCUUAGGACAGGUGCAAAUGGGACAACGGUCCAAAACUGAAAUUAGGCCCAAGUACUGGCCCAAGCGGACAGGAAAACCAUACUUGGGUCCAAGUCUCUCUCUUUAUUUAUUAUGUGUGUUUAUUUGUUAUCGAUUUUAAGGUUUCGAACAUUCAAACCCCCGGAAGACACCCAUUUUGAAUUAAUCAUUUAACUAAAUUAUUAGUCCCUUACUUGACUUAAAAAGUAAAUAAAUAAAUAAAUAAGUUUACAAAAUACUCCAUUUAAAUAAUAUUGCAAUAUUUUUCUAUUUCUCCCUUAAAUUGGUCCCAACUAUAAAAUAGUUCAGUUUUGCAAUUCAAACUAAGUUAAAAUUAUUUUAGCCAAAUAAUUAAUUGCCGGAUAGUCGCGUAUUAGCGGACAUUUCAGGUGCUUUCAAACCCUUCCUGAAAUGCUAAUAAGAACCCCGAACCCCUUUUAAAGUUUUUAUUAGAUUUAUGUUUUAGUCUUUUGAAAACAAUAGUUUUCUUGAUUUUACUUAAAAAUUAAGUGGCGAUUCUAAACCAGUCUAAUUAUAUGUUUUUAAAUAAAACAGAAUGACGACUCUGCUGGGGAUUUGAAUGGUUCUAACCUUAAGAUUAAGUUAUUUGGCUACAUGUUUUAACUGUCUAUUUGUUUUAUCUAUCGCAUAUAUUGAAUUGUGGCAUUCAUGGCACCCGAUUUCGCCAAAUGGUAAAUAAAUUGCAUUAGGAAAAAAGUCGGUUACGUGGCUUACCAUGACUGUCUUUCAGAAAAAAUACAAGUUGAAUUCUUUGGAAGUGAUAAACGAAUAGUUGGCUUGUGGUCAUCCAACGUCGUUUAUUAGACUUCACCCCGUUGUUUGUCCGACUCGGGUAAUCGUCAUUUCUAAACCAAUUCUAGUCAACCUAGAGUAGAGCGAAACCAAAUCCAAAUCCAAAUCUAAGCAUUAGCCUAAGACGACUUAAUACCCAAGGCGUAUUAAGUCCAUUAGUAAAACCGCCAAAAAUCAUGUCCAAGGUCCACGACCUAAUGACAUAUCAUAAUAUUUGACAUUUGAAAGAUGUAUGUGUGGAAACCUGAUUGUUGCCUAUUUAUGGGAGGGAAUCUUAACCGUGCUUUAUUUUGUAGGUAUGGAUUGAUUUCGUAAAUUCGACAUGGUAGUGGAAGCCCCAGUUUUGCUCAAGAUGUGGUACAAUGACCUCACUACGGGUCACAGAACUCAUCAACAUGGUCGGGUGGCCUGAGCUGAUUGAAGUCCUCACAGGUUAUUGGGACAACAAGAAGAUGGUGUUCCGAUUUUGAACCAUGGAAAUCACCCCGACAAUUGAGGAAAUUUGGGACGAAAUAAACACAGUCGGUAUAGGGCUUGAAGAAAGAGUGAGAAAACGGGAAAACAUCAUAAUCCCUAACAAGCCUACCCUUGAGGAUAUUGUAAACUGGCUCGGAUUAAGAAAGGAUUGCGCCUAUUGGGCAGAAGGUUCUAGAGUUUCUUUUAUGGAUCUCUAUGUCAGAUUUGGGCAUGCGAGCUUCUAUGCGAAUUACAACCAAGAGUUCAGGGUCACUUUCAGAGAAUGGGACGGGAUCAGACCGUUGGCAUUUACUAUCGCACUAUUAGGCACCAUGGUUUUCCCACAUGGCCCGAGUCUCAGUAUCAACACCCAGGUGAUAAUACUUGCGCACACUCUGUUCCACGGGCAUCUGAACUAACGGCAAGUGAAGUACUACCCUAUCGCGCCUGUCAUCCUUUUCGACAUGUACUGUGCUCUGGGUAGGUGUAAGGAAGGACAUCGUAACUUUCAGGGCUGUAAUCUCUUCCUCCAAUGGUGGAUAAAUAGUCACUUGAUGAAGAGACACAGAACUCAGGAACUCCACACCCUCGAUGAGUAUAAUGCUCUUAAGAGUUUGAAUGACAUGUUGUUCUGGGCAGACUUAGAAAAAAGGAGAACCAGAGAAAGAUGGACUCAAAUUUUCUCUGAGUUGAGAGAAGAAGAUAUUCAGUGGAUAUUCGACCGUUUCUUCUCGAAAGAUGUCAUAGUAUGGGGCGACAGACAAUUUGUGCUUCCUCUACUAGGUAUUCGGGGUAUCCGCCCGUAUGUACCCAUCCGGGUCCUGAGGCAGUUCGAGAGAAGACAGACUACACCUCCAGACGCUUACUACCGUAUCUAUGUGUUCGACAUCGGGGAUGAUAGACUGCAUGAGGCUUCAGAGAUGUUGAGAUAAUGGAAGAAAGCAAUGCGAAUGAAAGAAGGCACCAUCGCCGCGGACCGAUUUAAUGCUGGGUACGAUAAAACUACAAAUCUUGGUUGAAGGGCAAUAUAAAAGGUAUCUCCUUCUCAGUUCCGAACAUUAACCGCAAUGUAGAGGACAAAAAGUCCAAAGCUUUGAUAGAACUAAGAGAGGUAAGAUGAGAAGCCCAUGAAAUGCACGAGGAAUUUCUCUGAAAGCAAGAGGAGGAUAAGUAUGCCCUCGAGAGAGUAACUCAAGAAUUAGAAAGCUUGAGAAACGAUUUGGGAGAGCUCAACUUAUGGAUUGGAGAUAAGUAAAGCGGAAUGUGUCUCGAAGACUGGGAAGAGAAAGGCCGCUGGAGCGAAGGAUACUUGCUAAUGAUUCAAUAUAGGCUUCAACAUCUCAUGGCACCAAACAAGAGGAGCAGAUCAGAGGCGGGGCCAUCAGGAACAUUUUAGCGGAUUUCGCCCCUGUGAGGGUUUUUCUAUGUGUAUUUAUUGUUGUUUGUCCCUGCGUGGGCUUGCCUUUCUUGUAUUUUGGUACUCUUUUCAAAUGACCCCUGCGUGGGCCUUUUCUUUUGUGUUUCCCGUUUAUUCCCUACUCCCCCUGCUUAUUUUUGCUUUUUCGAACAUCAUUUUAUAUGCAAAAUUUUCUUUAGGGUAACAAAAUGGUUCAAUUCUACACAUAUAUCUUUCAAAUACGCUAGGCCUACCCUUGGCGCAAAAGGGCCCCUACUUGUUAGGACGCGCGAUAUAUGCUUAUGUGCUUUAACUGUUUAUAUGAUAUUGUUGCUUUGAAUGAGAACAUUUUUAUCCCACUCCUUUUCAAAAAAAAUUUGAAAGUCCCUACAAUACCAAAUACAAGUCACUAUCAAAUGUCCGACCAAAAUUCCAGGAGUCUUGAGUUUCUCAACCAAAAAUAAAAUCCUACUACCAAAUCCUAAAACAUUACUUUAUCAUUUCAAGAAAGGUAAAAUUGCUGCUAAGAUGGAAAAAGGUAAGAAUGUCGAGGUGAAGACGACUGAGGAGGAUUUAAGGAUGAAACUGCGUCGAUUCAAAUAAGAGAUUCGAGAGAUGGGAGGAAGAAGAAUAUAAGUUGAACUAGCCACCGCAGCUGCGCAACCCAAAAGUGCAACACUAGACGCGGAGUUAGAGGCUAAAAUGGCAAGAUAUGCUAUUAUGAACGAGGAGACGAUUGCUAUGUGAAAGGAACAUGAUGUCUUCAACAAUGAUAUAACCAUGAGGCUUCAGAAAAUACGCGAAAAAUGCUCUUUCUUUAAUCAAGAAGCCGAUAGUGGUCCCGAAGACACUCACCUUGGAGCUACUGAAGAAGAUACUGGGGAGGAAAUUGUUUAUAGGCCCCUUCUCUAGGGACGGUGGAAAGAAGGAAAUGAGAAAAUCACCCUCGAAGCAUAAGAGUUUACCCCCCGUGAUUAAUGCGACAAUCGGAAGAAGAAGCUUUGAUGAAGACACCAUCUAUCUUUUAGGAGCUUUAUUAUCCGUUUUUCACUUUCCUUGUAAUCACCAGAAAUGAAUGAAUGAAAAUGAAAUUUUCCUUUGUAUUCGAACUACAUAGGGCCUGAAUUCUCCUUAGGAGAUACGUAGGCAGCCUUUCAAGGCUUGACCCCUAUCCUUUAAAAUCUUAUUUUCUCCUCUUUCAUUCUACAAGGAAGCAUUGAAUUCACAUCAAUAGAUGCCGAAAGAUGUAGCAAGAAGACCUUAGCUCAACGCGAUUUAACCUUUCUCAGUCACUAGCCUCAAAAUAAAAUGAACAAAUUCCUGCUUGUUCAAAAAAUCAGUUCCCAUUACUCGUGGGUUAUCGUGUCCUCAAACGAAGCGACUUUUAUGUGUUUACAUGCUUUCUAUGUGAUAUUUUGCAUUAUUUGUACUGAAUCAAAACUAACAGAUUUGCCUAUGAGUUGUUUUCCUCUACAGGUAGUUAGAACUGAUCUGUGUUGAUAAGUUGGCUGAACACCCCUAUUUUACAAGAUCAAAAGUCCCUACAGAUUCCUUCCCCGGUCAAAGUUCUCGAAAGGGCAAGUCAACAAUGGGCGAUAACGUUGAGGAUACUGGCUUAACAGAUGUUGUUGUGGCUCAGCCCGUCAUCACCGAUCAGAAUGAGUUAAUCGUGCAGUUAAUGCAACAGAUCGUUGAGAUGCGGGUCGAGAUGCAGAGAAGGCAAGAUUUGCCUAAUCCGGUUUUUGCUUUCAAUGCUCCAGCAGAAGGAAGGCCUCCACUUCACUUUCCUCCGAACACAGAACAGGCUCAAAAUCCACCCUCCAGUCCUGCUCAGAAUCCCUCAAUCAUUGACCUAACCACCCAAAAUCCCCAUUAUGCCUCUGCCUCUUAUCAUACAUUACUCUCUCUUCAAAAUACCAACCUCCAAGUGCCACUUUCUCCCCAAAAUGCCAACCUCCAAACUGGUCCACCACCUCAAAACCAAAAUGUUAACAACCCGCAUACUUCCCUCCAUCACCAAAAUUAACAUACCAACCCCCAAACUUUCCCUCAAAACUACCAAGCCACUCAAAAUGCCCAAAGUCCCUCCAUUGCUCCACCCCUACCCCAGAAAGUUUCACCGGAACCAAGUCAAUGUGAGGCCUUUUGAUGGAUUGCAAAGAGACACAUUGGGUGCGGUAAACUUGGAUAUUCAGGUAGGUCCUGCGGAAUUUAAUGUGGAGUUUCAGGUGUUGGAUAUCAAUACCAGCUACAAUUUGCUUCUGUGAAGACCGUUUAUCCACAUGGCUGGGGUUGUGCCUUCUACCUUUCACCAACUAAUGAAAUUUGUUUGGAAGGACCAGGAAUUGGUCAUUUAUGGUGAAUGGAUCCAUUCCAAUGGCUAUGCACCAAUUGUUGAUGAUAUCUCUCGAGGUUGUGAUUUCUACAUGGUGGAGCUAGUAAAUUCCAUCGAUGAUGACUUGUCCCCACAACCCCCUAUGCCUUCUGUGUACAAGAUGAUUGCAACUGUCAUGCUCCAGAAUGGUUUCGAACCAGGUUUUGAAUUGGGGAAGCACUUUCAAGGAAUUGUCGAGCCUAUUCAGACCCCCGCCAAAGGAGCGAGAUUCGGUUUGGGAUAUGUCCCAACAGAUGACGAAGCAGAGACAAAGAACAAGAGUGUUGACCAAACAUUGGCCAGGCCAAUUCCUCAUUUGUACCAGGCAUUCCCGGUGCGAGAAUAUGUCAACAAUGGUGGUCUCGAGGAAGGAAUAUGGGGCAUGUUCGAAGAAGUUGACACAAUUAAGAAGGAUGAAGCUGGGACCUCAGGAAUCUGUGAUGCCGAGCCGGAGGAACAGUUGCAGAUUUGGACCUCCAUGCCGCUUUUGAUCCCCCGUUCAUAUUGGUAGAAAUGACACAUAUUUAUGUUUGUUUUUAAAAUCGAUGGUAGUCCGGAAGAGGCCUGAGACCCACCAUUUAUGCAGUCUUUUCUUGUUUGAGUUUUUAAUUUCCCCGUGAUAUUUAAAAAGGCAAAAUGGCCCUUGGCCAUGACCAAAGUUUGUGCUUGUUUUUCAAUCUAAAUGAAAGCCUCUUUUAUCAAUUUUUUUUUACUUAUAUGUUUACAUUUUACUUUCCUAACUUUGUUUAUUUAUGAUUUCAGUAAUAUUAAAUUAAGACUUGCCAAUGUCAUGUCAUGUCAUGAACCGAGUGAACGAAAUGAGGCAGGUGAUGACGACUGCGAGGAAUACGAAGAAGAAAAUGAGGUACCCGAACAUGUUGCUGAAGAGUUUUGACAAUUUGAGAAUCAGCACACGAUAAAUUUGGAAGAAAUCGAGACUGUGAAUCUUGGAGAUGAGAAGUGUGUUAAAGAAGUGAGAAUCAGCGUCCAUCUGACUGAAGGUCAAAGAAGGGACCUGGUUCAUUUUCUUAGAGAAUACAUUGAUGUAUUUUCCUGGUCUUACAGAGAUAUGUCAGGGCUGAGUACGAAUAUGGUGUCCCACAAGUUGCCGAUUAAUCCAUCUUUCAGUCCAGUAAAACAAAAGACUUGGAAGUUCAAGCCUGAGUUGAGUUUAAAGAUCAAAGAAGAGAUUACCAAACAGAUCGAGUCUCAAGUAGUGGAAGUGAUGCAAUAUCCAACUUGGUUAGCCAACGUUGUUUCGGUUGCCAAGAAAGACGGAAAAAUUAGAAUUUUUGUUGACUACAGAGAUCUCAACAAAGCUAUCCCAAAAGAUAAUUUUCCAUUGCCAAACAUUCACAUUCUCAUUGAUAACUGUGCUAAGCAUGAGAUGCAGUCAUUUGUGGAUUGUUAUGCGGGCUAUCACCAAAUCCUGAUGGAUGAAGAAGAUGCAGAAAAGACAAUUUUCAUCACGCCCUGGGGUGUAUUUCAUUAUCGGGUGAUUCCUUUUGUUCUCAAGAACGCAGGUGCUACUUACAUGAGGGCUAUGAUGACCAUCAUUCACGAUAUGAUUCACAAGGAGAUCGAGAUGUAUGUAGAUGAUGUCAUAAUCAAGUCCUGCGAGAGUUCGGAUCACUUGACUCACUUGAGGAAAUUCUUUGAUCAUCUACGCCGAUACAAUUUGAAAGUCAAAUCCCGCCAUGUGUGCUUUUGGAGUGCCAGCUAGCAAGCUGUUGGAUUUAUAGUCAACAGGAUGGGAAUUGAGCUUGACCCUUCCAAGAUCAAGGUGAUCCAAGAAUUAUCUCCUCCGAAGACCAAGAAAGAGGUGAUGAGUUUUCUUGGAAGGUUGAACUACAUUAGCCGAUUCAUAGCUCAAUCCACUGUGGUGUGUGAGUCCAUCUUUAAGCUGUUGAAAAAAAAUGCCCUGACCAAGUGGACCAGAAAAUGUCAGACUGCUUUUGAUGCCAUCAAGACUUAUUUGUCCAAUCCACUGGUGUUGGUUCCUCCGCGAGAAGGGAUUCCAUUGUUUCUAUAUUUGUCGAUCUCGGAUAAUGCAUUUGGAUACGUGUUUGGUCAACAUGAUGAAAUAGGGAAGAAGGAGUGAGCCAUCUAUUACUUGAGCAAAAAAUUCACUCCAUAUGAGGCUCGUUACACUCUGUUGGAGAGGACGUGUUGUGCUUUGACUUGAAUUGCUUAGAAGUUAAGACAUUAUUUGUCUUAUUAUACCACAUACCUUAUUUCCAGGAUGGACCCGUUGAAGAAUAUCUUCCAGAAAGCAAUGCCGACUGGGAAGUUGGCUAAAUGUCAAAUGUUUUUUAGUGAGUUUGACAUCGUGUAUGUGACCCAAAAGGCGAUAAAAGCACAAGCCUUGGUUGAUCGUCUUGCGGAGAAUCCAGUUGAUAAAGAGUAUGAAUCGCUUAAGACUUAUUUUCCCGAUGAAGAAGUUGCAUUUGUGGGUGAAGAUAUUUCUGAAGCAUACCCUGGUUGGAGAGUGUUCUUUGAUGGAGCGGCGAAUCACCAAGGGAAAGGAAUCGGAGUGGUCUUAGUAUCAAAAAUCGAUCAGCACUAUCCUAUGGAGGCUAAACUCCGAUUUGAUUGCACAAACAACAUGGCUGAGUAUGAAGCAUGCAUCCUCGGUCUGAAGAUGGCGAUUGAUAUGAACGUUCAUGAGCUUCUGGUUAUUGGAGAUUCAGAUUUGCUAAUUCAUCAGGUGCAAGGAAAAUGGGCCGUGAAGAACCCAAAGAUUACACCGUACGUGCAGUAUAUAUAGAAGUUGUGCAAAAGAUUUCAUAAGAUCGAGUUCAAACACACUCCCAAGACACAAAAUGAGUUGACCGAUGCUCUUGCCACCAUUGCCUCAAUGAUUAAACGUCCGGAUACAAGUUAUAUUGAUCCCUUGGAUAUAGAGGUAAAAGAGCAGCCUGUCUAUUGUUCACAUGUUGAAGCGAAACUAGAUGGUUUGCCUUGGUAUUUUGACAUCAAGAAGUAUUUAGAGACCGGGGCUUAUCCUGAGAAUGCAACGUUCAACCAGAAGAAGUCGAUACGUCGUAUGGCCCUCAGUUUCUUUGCAAGUGGGGAAAUCCUUUAUAGAAGGACUCCAAAUUUAGGUCUUCUCAGUUGUGUUGAUGCUAGUGAAGCUGCAAAGCUUCUGGAACAGAUACAUGCCAGAGUUUGUGGUACUCACAUGAAUGGCUCACUUUGGCGAGGAAGAUCCUUCGAGCCGGCUAUUUUUGGAUGACUAUGGAGCAUGAUUGUUGUAAGUUUGUGUAGAAAUGCCAUAAAUGUCAGGUGCAUGGAGAUCUAAUUCGAGUGCCGCCUUAUGAACUCAAUGCCAUGAGUUCACCUUGGCCGUUUGUAGCUUGGGGCAUGGAUGUCAUUGGUCCAAUAGAGUCAGCCGCCUCCAACUGAAACAAAUUUAUUUUGGUUGUCAUUGACUACUUCACCAAGUGGGUGGAAGCAGCUUCGUAUUAGUCGGUGACCAAGAAGGUUGUAACUGAUUUCGUUCGCAACAACCUGAUAUGUAGGUUUGGAGUGCCAGAAUGCGUCAUUACUUAUAACAGAGCGAAUCUUAACAGUCACUUGAUGAGAGAGCUAUGUGAAUAAUUCAAGAUUAUUCACCGGAACUCAACCGCCUAUCGUCCCCAAAUGAAUGGAGCUGUAGAAGCCGCCAACAAGAACAUAAAGAAGAUUUUAAGGAAAAUAAUUGAUAAUUGCAGAGGUUGGCAUGAGAUGCUACCGUAUGCUUUGUUGGGUUACCGAAUGAUUGUCAGGACAUCAGUUGGAGCUAGUCCAUAUUUGCUAGUAUAUGGAACAAAAGCAGUUAUACCUGCAGAAGUUGAAAUACCUUCAUUGAGAAUCAUCCAAGAAGCUGAAUUGAGUGAUGCUGAAUGGCUUCGCAAGCGGAUUGAUCAGUUGAUAAUGAUUGUUUGUCAUGGACAACUGUAUCGACAGAGAAUGAUUCGUGCUUUUCACAAGAAAGUAAGAGUCAUAAUGUUUGAGGUUGGUUAGUUGGUUCUCAAACGUAUUUUCCCUCACCAGGAUUAAUAUAAAGGGAAAUUUGCACCAAAGUGGCAAGGACCCUACAUGGUUCGCAAAGUAUUAUUUGGAGGUGGAUGGCACCGAAUGACCGAAAUCGAUCAACUCAGACGCUGUCAAGAGAUACUAUGUGUGAAGCUUCAGUUUGUAUUUCUAGUAUUGCCUUGUAAUCGUUCUAUUUGCUUGUAAUUGCUUUGUUUAGAAUGUAUCCCUAUGUAUUUGAACUAUGUUCGACCUGAAUUCUUAAGAAUGAGAUACAUAGGCAGCCUAUGUCGACCUCGGUCAAUUUCUUUGUAAUUUUCCUACUUUUGUUAAUCCUCGAGAGGGGGAACUAUGUUUGACCUGAUACCUGCCUCAACGGAAUACGUAGGCGUCACAACGGCUCGGUCAUAUAUCUCGUAAGAUUUCUAUUUUUCUUUACGAUAGAAACUAGGACAUAAUUUUUUGAGAGGGACUCAAAAAUUCUCAAGAAAAAGAUCUCUCCAACAAAGUCGAGACUGAAGUUACUUUGAAAUUUGCAACUGGGACAUAAUUUUUAAGAGGAUCUAAAAAAUUCUGUGAUUUGAUCACCAACGGUUAAAGAUAAGCCAAGACAGUUGACUGUAACAGAAAUUUUGAGGAUGGCCUCAAAAUUUCAAUAGGGUUUAUUGGCAGUUUAGAGCAACUUUGAAUACUUCCCAACAAAUAAUCAAAUAGAUCUCGAGACAUCAACUCCCAAGGUGUUCAUUAAGUUUGACGUGACAUGACACUUGGCAGCAACCUUUUCCAAACAUUAUUUUUCAAAAUCUAUUUUCCUUAAAAACUUUUCCUUCAUGUUUCAAUUAUUUUUGCAUAAAAAUGUUUUGUGUCAUCUAUCAAGAAGCGGGAGAUCGGAGAAAUCAACCGGAGAUAGCAAGGCAAGGAGUAGACAACCGAAGAGAUCGACGCAGAUCAGUUCAUUUUCAAACUAACAAUUUUUCUGUGGAUGUAGGUCUAUAGGUUUGCCGCAAGAUUAUCAUAUUCCUCCAUUUAAUGAAUAUGGAGUAGUCAAAAAGGCGAGGAGCUCCCCAAAUUGACAAUUUUUCUGUAGAUUCAGGAACUGUUUUAUGUUUCUUAUAUCAAAGACUUGGGAAUAUAAAUAGCAUUAUUUCAUUCAAAUUCUCAACAAGGCGAGGUCUAUAAUGAACAUUCAAUUAUAUUUGGAGAUGAAGCAAAGGAAAACUCGAAGAAAGAAAUUUUAUUUAUUUUCCAACAACUAAAGAUACUUGGAGGACAUUAUCUGUAUCAUAUUAUCGGACAUGAUAAUAUUAUUGCUCGGAGAGUCAUUUAUGUCGUAUUGUCGAAUGAGAUGAUACCAUUACUCUGAUGGUCAUUUUUAUUUGUAUUGUCGAUUGAGACGAUACCGCCAUCCAAGAGUAUCUAGAAGAUCACCUAUGCUGCUUGGUAAAGCAUUAUCUUCGUUCGGUAUCAGGAAGACAUCAUCAAAAGAUUCAUGCAUUGCAAGAGAAAGAAGUCAUGCAUCGCAAAAAAGUCAUGUAUAGCAAGAGAAGGAAGUCAUGCAUAGCAAGAUCAAGAUUCAUGCAUAGCAAGAGAAUGAUUCAUGCAUCGCGGAAAGAAGUCAUGCAUUGCGGGAAAGAGAUUUAUACAUAGCAAGAGAAAGAAGUCAUGCAUCGCAAGAGGAAAAAAAGUCAUGCAUCGCGGGAAAGAGAUUCAUGCGUCGCGGAAAAGAGGUCAUGCAUCGCGGGAAAGAGAUUUAUGUAUAGCAAGAGAAAUAAGUCAUGUAUCGCAGGAGAAAAAAAAGUCAUGCAUCGCGGGAAAGAUAUUCAUGCAUAGCAAGAGAAGGAUUCAUGCGUCGCGGAAAAGAAUUCAUGCAUUGCGGGAAAGAGAUUUAUGCAUAGCAAGAAGAAGAAACCAUGCAUAACAAGAGAAAAAGUCAUGCAUCACGGGAAAAAGAUUCAUGCAUAGCAAGAGAAGGAUUCAUGCAUUACGGAAAAGAAGUCAUGCGUCAUGGAAAAGGGUCAUGUUUCGCAAGAGAAAGGAGUUAUGCAUCACAAGAGAAAGAUUUGCCCAUCACAGGAAGAUAAACAUCGACUGCAUCGUUUUGCUUUGCAACAACGACAUCAAGAGAACUAUCAACAUAUUACAUCAACCUAUUUUAUUACUUUGACGUCAAAAGAAGAGUACAACCCGAUAAAGUUGACGUCAAAUGUUCAAGGAGAGCAAUUAAGUGUCAACACGGUAAAAGACACUAUCUCUCCAUUUGAAUUACAUUUUUUUAUGCUAAUGACUUUUAUCUCAGUCUUUGUCGAGAGCAUCCGAGAGGAUGAAUUCUCAAAACAAACCACAGGUGCGGACGACAUAAAAAGGAUGCAACACAACAUGGAACUUUUUAUUAGCAGCGAACUGGGACAUAGUCCAAAGAGGAGUGCCAAACUAUUAGGACGCGAGCUGAGGAGCGACUUCCACCACAAUCAAACCAUACCCCUAUCAGAAGGCAUGUGGGUUUUUUUUUGUCUCCACCGGAGCCAUCUUUCCAAUCUGAGUGACAAUGCACCAAGAGCUUUAGAAAUUAUGUUCGUGUAAGUUCUUAAUUAUGGGUGCGAAGCGCGCCACAUUCAUGACUAAGAGGUUGCAAGCCUCUUUUUCAUAACUCGACUUACUUUGUCGCUUUUCCAGAACCAAAGGGUAUCUUGCAUAAUAGAUUUCCUUUCAACCGAUCGAGUCGAACUACAAGCAGCCUAAUUCCCUAAGUUGAGGGAUAUAUAGGCGGGCUCAAUGUCAAAAACUCGACUGUAUUCCAACAUCCUCUCUUAUAUCUUAUUUUAGGGCGUUCCGGUCUCUUCAUAAUUCGAUAUCGGGAUAGCUUUUGAAUUCCUUCUUAAUCGUGUGUCAAAUCAAACGUAUCGAACUACAAGUGACCUGAAUUCUCAUAUAGCCUGAGAUAUGUUGGAAACCCAUUUUUGGGGUUCGGCCAUAAUUCUUUAAGUCCACACCAGAAACCGUUGUUAGAAGAGAUGAAGAUGUGGUCGGCCAAAAUUGGUUUAGUCAAUUUUAUUUUCCUCAAAUUUCUUGCAUCAAUCCAAGUAAAAUGAGGGACAGUUAUUGACACCCAAAUUUGGACCUCCACAAUAUACAUUAAUCAUCGAGUUUCAUAAAUCCAAACGAUUUGAAAUAAUUGACUUUAUAAAGUUCAAAAUAUUUUUCAAGUUACUUUUAGUUAAUUUUACAAGUUUUAUAAUUUUUAAAUUAGCAUAUAUGUUUUAUAUAAUUUUGUAUAUAAUUAGUAUAUUUUAUAAAUAUUUCGAAAACCAUCUCAAAAAGAUUUUAAUUUUAGUAAAUAUUUUAUUGAAUUAGUUUUGUCUAAAUUAGUAGUUUAUAUUUUGACUCAUUAGUAUAUUAAGUUAAUUAUUCUAUGUCGUUAGAAGUAAAAAGCUCUUUAAUUAAUUCGUAUUGAUUCAUCUUAUUUAAGAUUUGGCCAAAGUUCUCCGAUCAAAAUUCAUUUGACCACUUUUUGUAGUUAUAAUUUCAACUACACAGAAAACUUUUUUCUUCCAAUUUUUGGACCCAAGUUGGCCCACUUUCAAGCACAUUUUAAUUCUCAGCCCGCUCCCUCAAUCCCCUUUAAUUUUCAGCAGCCCAAUUCCUCACACCCGACCAGACCCAUUUCCAAUUCUAAAGAGACCCAUAACAUCAUCAGCACAACAGUUCCAAACACUCACAGAAAGCACGUUAACUCUAGUAAAACGACAACAACAGAGGCAGCGAUACACGGUGUCUUCACAUCCUUACCAAAAUGACAAUCCAGCAGCGACUAAACGAUGCCCCAACGUUCAUCAACUCACGGCCUGAACACGGAACAACACAAGAAAGAGCAGAACAUGAAACAAUACUCUGCUCCUCCUUGUCUCCUUCCUCAAUGUCUCUCUCCAAUUAAUGUUGCAGCAACACAUGUUUCUUCCUUUUACCUCUUUGGGAAUUGGGCGAAAUUUUGGAAAAAGGUUGUUUCUCCGGAAUUGUGAAUGAAAUUUUGAGUUUGAAUUCGAAAUGAGCCCUUGAAUCUGAGUUUUUGGAUCCCUUUCCCCUCAUUUUUUCCGAUCCUAAUUUUCCUUCUAUAUAAUUGCUUUUAUUCACUGUUGAAGGGGGAGAGAUUUUUUAGUUGAAAAUUCUUUAUUAAGGCAGAGAAAAAAGUUGAAAAGUUUUGGGAAAAAUCGGUGAGAGUUUACAGAGGAGACGAUUCCAAAGCUACAAAAUUAUAUAAGAAAUACUCCUCACAUUCCUUUUCUUUUCAGUGUGCGCUGGUUACUGGAGUUAUCGAAGAAUUCUUGAGGUCUUUGUGUAGUGGUGGAAGCUCCUCGUGGUUAUCUCAUUCUCGUCUCAGUUCACUGCCCCCGAAAAGGUAAACUUCUAUUCAAUUCCAACUCUUCAGUUGUCGUUCUAUUUUUUUUUCUGAGUUGAAAUGGUUUGUUGGUUUAUUUUCUUCAUCUCUUGAAUGUCUUUGUUCUCCUCAGUUCACUGCUCGUGUAUAGUAGCCGAGUGAUUGGGUCUGAGUUGGUGUUCUUAGUCAUCUCCAUGAGUUAGUCGUAAUACUGAUUUGAAGCUCUGUUGAUUGAUAUUUAGCGUUGAUGUUUCCCUCCUUCUUGUUUGAGUUUAUUUCAUUAUUCCCCUUCUCCAAUCCAUUACUUGAAGGUUGUUGAGCUUUUGCUUCUAUCUCUGCCUAUUUAAGGUUCGUCUGAACAUGAUUUGAGCUAUGUUUUUUUUCCGUUAGUAUUGUCUGAUGUAUAUGGAAGUUGUAUGUGCUUUCUCUGGGUAUUUUAAACAUAAAUCCCUUUUUCCCUCUAAGUAAUGGCAGCCACCUUAAUUUUCAAUAGUUGAGGUUGUUCACAUGAAAUUUAUUGGACUUACUUGUCCUCUAUUAACUUGCUUAUUACUUUUAUUGUGAGCAUGAAAAGCCUUUUUCUUUUAAGCUUUGAUUUAGCUUCUUGAAAUUGAUUUUAAUCGCUUAGUCGUUCCAUGUUUUGGUAUAUUAGUUGUUGUCUAUGACACUUUUCUGAUUUCCUCAAGGUGUAAACUCUUUUAGAUUUUCAACCUCUUUAAAGUUCUUUUGUGGGAGAGGUUGAGUUCAUGUAAUUGUGUCAAGAAUGUCAUUUCUUUUCUGUCUUAUUUCGCUGCCAAAAAUGGUUAGAAAAGCUCCUAAAAUAUCAUGUUCACUAUCCUGAUAUGUCUUCAUAACUGCCAGCCAGCCCCUUUUCAGAUGCCCCCUCUAUUUUGUUGUCAUUAUUUAAUGUCAUUGUGGCUGAUGGUAUUGGGGUAUAACUAACAAAUUUGUCGGUAUACAAUUUGAUGUUUUCUCAUACUUUGAGUGGAGCUUUCCUCCUCUUAGUUUAGCAUCUUGAAUAAGCUCUUCUUGAAUUAAUCAUGCAUUUUGUGUAAAAAUUGAAGAACUAGGGGUAUUUCCUUUAUUUGUGCAUAAUUUGUUGACAAUUUAUUCCCUUUGGGUUUGAAUUAUAACAGUGUUAAGGUAAUUUCUUGUGACAAAUAUGUUUAUAUUCAUUAAGAGAAAGAAUGUUUGCCUAAUCUAUUUUUAAUCUAUCUUUAUCUUUGUAAUGUUGCACUUAUAUUAUUUUUAAAAGAGAUUUUUGGAAUAUAUGGUUAAAUUGGGUCAUAUUUCACCUAAGAUCACCAUACUUCAUUAGCUUAAAAUGCAUAUUUUGGACUAUAAUUUUUGAGUGUUAAAUGUGUGAAUUUUAGAUGCUAUUUAACCGGGGAUAAAAUGUGUUAUUUUCUUUUGUUUAAGUCACUUAAGAAUUGUGAUUUAGAGUAGCUUUUCCAUGGUUACUUACUGAUUUUCCUUUCUUUCCUAUUUUAUUGUAUGUGACAUCUGUUCAAGUCCUCACGGACUCUAUCUCUGCAUUUCCAAAGGGGUCAUGAAGGCCCCAAAAUUCUUUAUUCGAGUCAACCAGCCAUCAGGAGUGAAGAAUAAUUCCCUUGAAAUCUAAGAACAGGUGCUUAAAAAAUUGACGAACAGUGUUUGGAGCUGAUACAAGAUUGUAUACACUAGUAUACACCUAGUGUAUACGGAAAAAAAUUAGAAGGUGGGCUUAAAGAGGCCCACUCUUCUUUAAGAAGUUGUAUUUUGUUAUGUUUGGGCCUAAGCCCUCUUAUUUCCAUUAUUAUUAUGUGUUGUUUAUUAGGACAGGUACCAAAGCAAGAAGUGGGCCUAAAACCCAACGGGAAAAUUAGCCUAUCUUAGGACAAGUGCAAAUGGGCCAAAGGUCCAAAACUGAAAUCAAGUCCAAGUACUGGCCCAGGCGGACAGGGAAACUAGACUUGGGUCCAAGUGUCUCUCUUUAUUUAUUAUGUUUGUUUAUUUGUUAUCGAUUUUAAGGUUUCGAACAUUCAAACCCCCGGAAGACACCCAUUUUGAAUUAAUCAUUUAACUAAAUUAUCCGUCUCUUACUUGACUUAAAAUGUAAAUAAAUAAAUAAAUAAGUUUACAAAAUACUUCACUUAAAUAAUAUUGUAAUAUUUUUCUAAUUCUCCCUUAAAAUGGUCCCAACUAUAAAAUAGUUCAGUUUUGCAAUUCAAUCUAAGUUAAAAUUAUUUUCGCCAAAUAAUUAAUUGCCGGAUAACCGCGUAUUAGCGGACAUUUCGGGUGCUUUCAAAUCCUUCCUGAAAUGCUAAUAAGAACCCCGAACCCCUUUUAAAGUUUUCAUUAGAUUUCUGUUUUAGUUUUUUGAAAACAACAGUUUUCUUGAUUUUACUUAAAAAUUAAGUGGCGACUCUAAACCAGUCUAAUUAUAUGUUUUAAAUAAAAUAAUAGGUGUUCAAUAGGAACAUGCCUCAAUUGAGGUGUUUUAGUGAGUUAUGGGGACAACUUUAAGUGAUUGUAGAUCACUUUAAGCCUUGAAAGUUACGUCAUUUCUAUCAUACUUCCAAGUAACCAUAUUCUAUUGGUGAGAAAAUUGUCUUGUAUUUCUUCUCAACUAUGUAUCAUAUACUUUGAAAAAUGGUUCAUAUUUGUUCAUGUAUUUGUGAUUACUGAUUACUCCUAGUUCACAAAAACUUAGGGAUAAAGCAUAAGUAUUUCUCUAGACUAUGGCCAAAAUUCAGAGACACAUUAACUAAACUAAGGUCCUAUAACCACCCCCCCCCCCCAAACUCAUUUUUUAAAAUAAUUUUAUACACCUUCACUUAUGUGGUACACUCUGUGACUCCAGGUAAUUGAGACGCAUGGAGAUGUUUGGAUACCAUGUAGGCCAAAAAGGUGUAGAAAAUUACAAAAAAAAAA
rnacentral:lncRNA from 1 species